UCGUAUAGCACUUUAUUCUGGUACAAACUUAUAUCAUGGAGCAGUUCCGAUAAGUAUCAGGUUUCUCGUUCACGCAAAGAAAAGGAAAAGUUUGCUUGUUGCGCGGGUUGUGUUUGAUUUUUGUCUUUAAUGCGUGCGCUAAUCCCGUGCUCCAAACUGAUUUACAGAGAUUACGAGUUAAAUGGAAUAAAAGGGCAGAAGACAUACUAGUGGAAGUACUCCACUACAACUCUUCUUUGUUCUUAGUAUUAAUCAAAAUAGCAGAUCGAACUAGGACACUGCAUUGGGACAAUUAAUUAAGCGGAGUUCUUAACAGCAGACCGAAGAAACUCCAGUAGUGCGUCGAUCGGGCAAACACAAAUGAACGAAGCUAGCUCGAACUAAUUUAUUUAAGCGAGAAAGAGGGCGAAGAGGGCCUUGUCGUCGAGGUGGUCGGGCGCGGCGGCGGUGACGAGGUCCACGGCGGCGUCGUGGCUCAGCCCGCGGACGAACGCCGCGUCGUACUCCGCGAGGUCGCAGGCGCCGCUCGCGGCCGCGGCGGCGCGGGACUCCCAGUACGCGACCGCCGCAGCCACGCCCUUGCUGGAGACGCCCCGAGGCAGGUCCACCACCACGUGCUGCUUCUGCCCGUCGGCCGCCGCGGCGGCGGCGACGCGCCCCGACCGCAGCGCCAGCGAAGCCGGCACGGUGAACUGGACCAAGUCGGCGCACCGCAACACCACCAUCGGGGAGUUCUCCUGCAGAUCCAUCGCCGCCAUCGCAACGAGACUAGGGAUUUCGCUUUUGUUUCCGGCGUGCUCUGUUUUGCGAGCGAUGUUUGCGGCGUGCUCUGUUUUGCGAGCGAUGUUUGUGGUGCGUGCGUGCAUAAAUGGGUGCGCUGCGUACACGGGCUCGAGCCCGAGUCGGCUGGUGGGACGAUGCGCGGGCGUCUCAAGAGUGCGUGUGUGGUUCGGAUCAGUUCUAAAGUUUCUGUUCCGGUUUCGUGCACGCGGCGUCUCUGAUCCGGAGAAAGGAAAGGAAAUGCGAGACUUGGAGAAGAAGAUUGCGAAAUUAAACCGGCCGUUUGGGGUGCCGUCCGGCGGCGUCAGCGUUACUUGUGCAACGGGUACGGGUGGGGGUCUGAUGAUUCAUCGAGUUGGUCAUUUUAGGCCUUUAUUACACGUUUCCAUUUUAUAGUUUUUUUCUUCAAGUUAUCUUGUUACGGCAUGCGUCGGGCGUCGUUUUUCGCGGAUGAUGCAGUUGUUGUGAUCCAGCCGGUGGAGAGGGAACUUCAGACGUGUGUGGCCUUGCUUGAGGAUUUCGCUGUGGCGUCCGGGCUGAGGUUCAAUUUCCUUAAGACCUCGGCCCAUCCGAUCCGUUGCUCCGAGGAACAGAUUAUGCUCGUUCAUCAUGUUGUGACCUGUGAGGUUAAACCCUUCCCUUGUUCAUAUCUGGGACUGCCGCUUGGCCUAAAGAAACCGUCUGUGGGGCAGCUGGUUCCGAUUGUGGAGAAAGUGGAGAAGAAGCUUCGAUGUGGUCUGCUCCUGUGUUCUCGACCGGUGGGAGAUUGACUUUGGUACGGUUUGUGUUAUGUGCCAUGCCGGUUUAUGCCAUGAUGUCGCUGGAGCUGUCGGUCAAAACGAUUUCGGCUAUCAAGAAGCUCUGUCGCGGCUUCCUGUGGAAGGGGCGGAAGGAGGUCCGUGGCGGCCACUGUCUUGUGGCAUGGCAAACGGUUUGCUCCCCCAAACAAUUUGGUGGUUUGGGUAUUCCUAACCUUCGGCUUCUCAAUGUGGCCCUGCAAGCUAGAUGGGGAUGGCUGAAGUGUUCGGCUAUGGAUAAGCCUUGGGCAGAGUUCGAUCUCCAAAUCCCUAACCUUGCUUUGGAUCUGUGCCGAGCGGCUAUUGUGAUCACUGCGGGAAAUGGUCAACGGGUCAAUUUCUGGUGUGAUCCAUGGCUUCAUGGUACGGCCCUAUGUGAUAUCGCGCCACAUCUCUUCUUGAAGGUUGGUGGUGGCGGGAAGAUGUUGACGGUCACCGAGGCUCUAAAGGAUCGCAGAUGGGUCAUGAAGAUCAAACAUGACCUGAACUCUAUUGCCAUCGAUGAGUUCUUGUGUGUUUGGGACCUUGUGGGCCAAGCGGAGCUCUCUGCCGAACAGGACUCUUUCCGAUGGAAAUGGGAAGGCAAUGGCAGAUACUCGGCGGCAUCCUCAUAUGCGGCGUUCUUUGGCGGUCAUAUUGCCUUGCCUGGGGCGGUUGAGCUCUGGUCUUCGAGAGCCCCAGGUCGAUGUGUUUUCUUCAUGUGGUUAGUCCUUAGGGGACGUUGUUGGACGGCAGAUCGCCUACGUCGUCGUGGUCUUCCCCAUCCUUAGAGAUGUCCGCUUUGCGAUCAGAUGGAUGAAGACAUUAACCAUUUGAUGUUGGGAUGCGUGGUCUCUCGCCAAAUCUGGUUUUCCGUCUUGGAUCGUUGGGAGAAGAGGGAGUGGGUUCCCGGUGCACUUAGUACCAUGGCGGAUUGGUGGCCGAGCCUGGAUGCUGGAGGACGUAAGAAUCGAAGAAAUUUAAACACGGCGGUUACCUUAGUAUGUUGGAGCAUUUGGAAGCAUCGCAAUGCGGUGGUUUUUGAUGGAGCAACGCCGAGCGUGUCACAGGUCCUUCGUGUGAUCAGCCAAGAGGGUGAUGCGUGGUGUAGAGCGGGUCUUCUUAAGGGUUCAGCUCUCUUUUGCAAUUUUGGUCUGGUGGAUGUAAUGUGGGCGUUGCGUGAAUAAUCGUGUAAUUUGACUUAUGCCGCGUUGUGGUCUUGUUCUUUAAUAUAUGAUAUACCUGUCGAGGUAUAUUCUAGAAAGAAAAAUGUUACGGCAUGCUGUACAUUACAUAAUUAUAUUUUGCGUCCCUCGCCUUGUCAAAAACAAGUAGCAAAAUCCUUUUUUCUAUGCUUUUGGUCAUCCAACUAUUAAACGAGAUACAUUUGGUCUCUCUUCCCGGACGAGGCGGUUUCAGUGCCAGCGUCCCACGUUUUUACUGUCCCACUUGUCACAUCGGCUUGCUGUUGACUUAAUUAACGGUGUGACCAUGAUCCCACGGCUUGCUGUUGACAUAAUUAACGGUUUGACCAUGGUCCCACCCCUCGACUUGACCAUGGCACUCGACGUCAUCAAUUUCCCUUGGAACAUUCUCCUGUUAAAAAUUGUGGCCCAAAUCAACCAUAAUGGCAUCCCCAAAAAUCCACAAACCCGAGCGCAAUAGGGAACACGUACCUUCACGGGGGGCCCACUCGGUUCAAUCUCAUCCGGCAUUAGAAUCAGCUCGCCGGUAUCAGCUCCAGUCAACAUGGCAGCGACGAUGACGAUCGGGGAACGAGACGGGGCUAUGGGAGGGCGAGAAGAUGCUAGCUAGGGGAACACAAAAAGAUGGAGACAUGUGGUCCUGAGCUACCGUCACAGGUGACCUCGACCACCGACGGCGCUGACUUUCCUCUCACCGGCCGGGAAGAGGGACCAAAUGUGUGCUGUUUCGACAAUUGGAUGACCAGAGAGGGACCAAAUGUGUAAAUGUGUGCUGUUUCGACAAUUGGAUGACCAAAAGUAUACGAAAAAUUGAGGAACAUUUUGUGUACCUUUUGACAAGUUGAGGUACGAAACAUAUACUUUGCUCUUAUAUAAAUUGGUCUACAUUUGCCUUUUGCCAAGACUUUUAAGUGUCUGUAUACAAUACGGUGUUGAGAAUUAGAAUUAUCCAUAGUUGCAAACUGCAAGGACUACUCGCUGUAGGGAAACAAAACCAAUAGAUUAAUUUUUCAAGUAUUUUAUGAAACUACUACAAAGCCGCUACAAAAUGCAUGCAUGUCGUCAUAAAAAGCCCGUGGUUAAGCUUUUUCGCACUUGGGCUAACAGUAUUGCAAAUAAUAAUAGGACAAGAAUAAAAGCCUACAACGACUCCUCCGUUACUUUGUGUUACAAAGAUUAGAUUGCGCGUUUCCUCUCUGGCGUUGUUCGUUGCUCGCCCGGAUCCAAGCGCACGGAUUAAAAAAGAGUCUCUAAGAGGAAGAGACUCUUCCUCCCCGAACUCCACCCUGCCGCCGCACCUGCUCCCUUGGCCCACGUCGCCGCGUCCCCUCCCCACUCUCCCUAGGCCUCGCCAAAGAGCCAGCUGAGUUUUUGUUUUGAAAAUAAAAGUUAAAAGCUAGAGUCAAAAAUUAAAAAGUUCACAAAUAAAAAGCACGAAAAAAAUGAAAAGUCAAAAAUUUAAAAGCUAAAAUUUUAAAAGCAAAACUAGAAAAAAUAAAAAGUUUCCAAAAAGGCAAAAAAAUAUCCGACACCCAAAAAUAUGGUUGUCGGGAUUUGACUGCCGUGUUUUGCAAAGUUUUUUAGGAAAUUUUAUUGUAUUCUUAGUUAUAGGAUCUACUUUGUAGUUUUUGUUAGAUGUAAAAUAUUAUAGUUUCAUAGUUGUGAUGGACACCGGGUCUGAAUGAAUCUACAAUGGAUUCUAACUUUCUAAGGAAAAGUGCUAUGGGACUGGUUUCUUUGUUCUCGGUCAACUGAGUGAUCACAAAACCAUUAAAAAAAACUAUUUUACUUGAUCAAAUACGUAAUAUAUUUCAUAAAUCCUUGUUUCGAACAAAUUAAGGGCGCGUUACAUGAAAGUUGCUGGGAUUGUGAUAUGACAGCAUGCAAUCCAUCUGUAGUUUGAACCGACCAGGCACAGGCCGGCCGCAGUAACCACUCUGAGACUCAAGAAAGUGGAUCCCUCUCACCAAAUUCCAGAGCGAGCUGCAGCUAUCUAAACCCCCCAAAUAAUUCCUCUAUCUAAAUUGCCUCAACCAAUCCCCUACUCAUACAAGCAUGCAGUAUUGGAACAGGUGAUGCUCUCUAGCUCCUCCAAACCGGCAACCACUCAACAUCUCCAACUCCAUCGAUCACCUCAGCUAUAUAUACACACAUGACCAUGCAACACCAUCCACACAACCACAAGCAAGCAAGCAAGCACACAAGCAACAACCACAACUGGCAUAGCAACAGCCUAUAUCCAAGCUACCUCGCUAGCCAUGGAGCUCCUGCGAAGCAUCGCCGUCCUCCUACUCCUCUCGUGCUCCCUGGCAGCAGCGACAGCGCCGGCGGGCACCCUGGAGCGCGUGUCCAAGCAGCAGAUCCUAGCCAGCAUCCCACCGGGAGGACACGCCAGCCCGCCCGUGCCGUUCCUGACGUCGCCGUCCGGCAAGUACGCCGCCUACUUCGUGCGCACCCACACCGUCCCCGGCGCCGGCGGUCUCGGCGCCGACUUCUGCUACGUGGAGGUCACAAUGUCCGCCCACGGGGGCUCCGAGGGCGCCGCUGGCAUCGGCACGAGCGUGUGGGAGUCGGAGUGCCGCCCCGUGAGCACGGUGAACACGUGCACGCUGCUCUUCUCUUGGCACGGCCUCGAGGUGUUCGACGGCAGCGAGGAGGUGUGGCACGGCGAGACCAACACGGACGGCACCAACUUCCUCCAGACGCUCGAGCUCGUGGACGACGGCGACAUGCGCGUCCGCGACAAGGACGGCGAGCUCGCCUGGCGCGCCAGCGACGAGCCGCGCCACGCGCAGCGCUGCGGCGCGCCGGGAUCCCCCGGUCUCGCCGCCGCGCUCCCGCCCUUCGCGGAGCCCAUCGGCGCGCACAGCAGCAGCCUGCCCUUCGGCCAGGAGGAAGGCGGCAACGGCCACGCGGCGCAGCUCCCGCAGGCGGCGGAGCUCGGUGACGGAUCAGUGGCCCCGUGGGCAGGCGGCGCCGUGGGAGCUGCGCCGGUGGCUGCAGGCGCCUUGGGCGAUGGCUAUGGAGCUGCACCGGCGGCAGGAGUGGCACCAGGGGAAGGAUUGGGCGACGGCUAUGGAAUUGCACCGGCCGCGGCCGGGGUAGGAAACUAUGGUGGCGCCGGGGCCGUGGGCGUGGCUGGACAGGGUGGUGCCGUGGGAUCGGCAGGGUUCGGGAGCCAGCCGCUGGUGGACAACAGCCCUUAUGACAGUGCGGCCUGGAAGGACGGUCGUGGGGCCCAUCUGUCGGCCAUUGGAUUUGCGGUGUUUGUUAGCGCCGCGCUUGGUGCUAUGGCUGUGGGUCUCUGAUCGGAGCACGAAGACGGUGCUCUAUAUAUCUGGUAAUUUGUGGGUGUGUGUUUUCCUGUAUUUACCCAUGUGUUGUAACUUCUAAGAGUGGGCAAGUUGGUGUUGUAUGUGUGAUUUGAGUAAAUUAAUCUCAAAUUUGAAUGGAUAUUAUUGCAUCAUAUUUUAUCGGUUCAUUUCAUGACAAUCACAGUUACUAAUAUACACAUCUCUUGAAAAGUUGAGCCUGGCUCGGAUGGUUUGGUUCCUUGUGGUGAAACCAGCCUAUCCAGGUUCAACUCCUAAAUUUGACAUGUGUGUUUAUAUUUUUUUGGAUCAUUUCAGGAUUUAGUCGACGCUAUUCUUUCAGUAGUAGGUGACGUAUCCGUAAACAGGGAGGCAUAUGCGGUAACUUCGUCAAUCUCUCAAGAUCAGCCGCCUCAGUCUUUCAUAGGUGCACAUAAAAUGUUAGGGUGUGCCUUUGUGCGUUCACAACGAGAAGUGUACGCGUCGUGUUGUGAACAUCUGCGUUUGUUCUUUGUUUUAAAAAAAACGCUUUGGCAUUAGUUUUGCAUGGACAUGUUAGUACAAUAAAUAAAAUAGCUUUUUUUGAACAACACUAGUAUUAGAUGGUGUCGGUACGACUCGGUGGUCGAGGGUAUACAUAUUAGAAAAGCGUGUGUACAGUGUAAAUCGCGAUUUACAGUAUACAUAUUAGUUUUGCAUGGACUUGUUUGACUGUCUAGAUUGACCUGGUCAAUCCUUGUUGGUACCUUGAUCAGGUGAAGCUUUUCUUGACUUCAUAUCUUUACCGUGUACUAGUACAUAUUAGAGGUUCGACCAAUACAGGAAACUAGCUAGUUACAGUCCAAUAUAAAAGAAUAAUAAAAUUAAAUUUCUUUAAAUAAAAAUUGUUUUCAUUUGACACAUCAAAAUAUUACUAUUAUUAUUUGCAUAUUGUUAGUCGAAGUUAGAAAAAGUUUAACCAUGGGCUAUUUAUGACGACAUGCAUGCAUUUUGGAGUGCCUUUGUAGUAGUUUCAUAAAAUACUUAAAAAAAAUAUUGGAUCUAUUUGCCUACAGCGAGUAGUCCUACAAUUUGCAACUAUGGAUAUUUCCAAUUCUCAACACUGGUAUUGCAUGUAGAAAGUUAAAAGUCUUGGCAUAUGUAGACCAAUUUAUAUAAGACAAAAGUAUAUUUUUCCUUCAUCAACUUGUCAAAAAGUAUGCAAAACGUUCCUCAAUUUUUUGUAUACUUCUGGUCAUCCAACUGUCUAAGGAAACCGCGGCAUGGUUUUGCUAUUCCAUUGCCACGUAUGCUUGCCACCUCGGUUUUAAGUUGACCGCCGUGACCCAACUCGAGCUUGAGUCCAUUUUCCCUUCUCCCCUUCGACCCAAACCCUAGCCGGUGAGAGGAAAGGCAGCACCGCCGAUGGUCGAGGUCAACUGUGAUGGUAGCUUAGGAUCACCUAUCACCAUAUUACCGCUCUCCCAUAGCCCCUGCCCGUUCCCCGGUCGUAGUCACCACCGCCGCCAUGUCAACUGGAGCUGAUACUGACGAGCUGAUGCUAAUGCCGGGUGAGGUUCCGAGUGGGUCUCCCCGAGUGAAGGUAUGUGUUUCCUAUUGUGCUCGGAUUUGUGGAUUUUGGGGGAUGCUGUUGUGGUUGCUUUGGGGCUACAUUUUUGAGCAGGAGAAACUUCCCACUGGAAUUGAUGAUUUCGACUUUCGAGUGCCCUGGUCAGAUCGAGGGGUGGGACCAUGGUCAUACCAUUAAUUAAGUAAACAUCAAGCCGACGUGGCAAGAGGUAUAGUAAAAACGUGGAAGCUGGCACCAAAACCGCCUUGGCGGGAAAAGGGACCAAAUGUGUCCGCUUUCGACAAUUGAAUGACCAAAAGUAUACAAAAAAUGGAUAUUUUGUGUAAUCUUUUAUAAGUUAAGAGACAAAAAUAUAAUAUUUUGUUAUAUAAUGUACAAGUACAACCACUACCAGGAUCACAGAGUAUAGUGACGGUGCAACACCGUCGAAAUAACUCCAAAACUGACAGAAACAUAAUUCGUGUCGGUCAACCGUCAGGCAAAUACCGACAGAACUGGCGUGUCAAAUAAAGGAAUUUGCGUGUCGGUUACAAAGAACUUUCAUGGCAGAUAGGUCUAAGUCUAACGGUGACCGACAAAAAAACAUUUUGGCAUCCGGUUUCAUCAACUUUUGUUUUGACAUCCCACCCGACAGAAAAAACGACAGGAAAAUAAAUUGUGUCGGUUGACCAGACACGAAAAUCAGUACAUUUUGCGUACUUUUGACAUUUUGAGAAACGAAAAAUAUAAAUUUUUCUUUAUAUAAUGUAACAACGUACAUGCUGUAACAUGUGAACUUGAAAACAAAACACGGUAUAGAAUGGAAAUGUGUAAUAAAGGCCUAGCUAGAAUGACGAACUCAAUGAAUCAUCGCACCCCCACACGUACCCGGUACUCAAGUAAUGCGGGCCGAACGGCCCCCCAAACGGCCGAUUAUUCCAAUCUUCUUCUCCAAGUCUAGUAUUUCCAUUUCCUUUCUCGGACCAGAGACGUCGUGUUGCACGAAACCAGAAUUAUAGAAACUUUAUACCCCUCCAUUCGGAAAUAAGUGACUUAUAUUUGUAUCUAUACCUAUCUAAAAAAUACGGACCGUUCCCUUCACCGUCGUCUGUCAAACUUUCCAUAAAAUUUGUGGGCCCCUAGGGUUGCAUGUAUAUUAGGCCUACUAAGCUGGCUGGCCCGUUACCUGCACCAAAUUGGACUGGAACUCCACUAGAUCGGUCCAGAUUCAAUCAAUCACGAAUACAACACAACUUCAAACUUAACGUAUCAAUCACGAUCGGUCCAAUACAGCCUCCCGUAACCAAGCAUGUAUCAAUAUCGGUAUGGACUAUGGAUCGUGUGAAAAAAGUCAUAAAGCAAUCUCAGGAAAUUCAAUCCAAUCCGAGCCAGAAAAACUGAUCCAUCCCUCUCUCCCAGCGAAGCUCCACGCCAUGGCCCAUGGAUCGUUACGAUAGUCAGGACAGGAUCGAUCAAUGUACUUGCUCGUAAAUUAUGCCUACGGCCUACAAGCAUCUCUAAAAAAUUUACUACUCCCUCCGAUCAAUAUUAAUUGUCUCAAAUUUGUCCAAAUAUGGAUGUAUUUAUGCCUAAAAAGCGUCUAGAUACAUGUAAUAUUUCGACCACUAAUAUGGAUCGGAGGGAGUACGUCUACGGGUGGACAGAAACUACAAGUCCGAACGCAUGGCACAAGCCGCUGCACAACGCAAUCACCCACGAAGAUGCAAAUCGGCACAGACGCACAACGACAGUUCGACUGUCGGCAGAUCGGCCUAUACGAGGAAUUCUACACUAGACUCUAGACAUCGCUGACGCCUUGAAGCCAAAAUUAAUUUAGGUGGAUCUAUUUGUAAGCUAGCCUUUUGUGAUAGGUUUAAUUAGCCCUAAUUGUUGGUUAAAGUUUUGAGAUUGUCAUGUCGACUAAGAAAUACGCAUCCGGGAAAAGAAAAAAGAGAAAGCGAGUAGAUGAUUUGAUAAAAUCACAGAGAGGAUAAAUUUAUAAAAUUUUAUGUGCUGUGACGAGUUUUUGACAUAUUCUAUACAUACAUAUUUAGAUAUUAUUUAGAUGUUUAUAUUAGGAUCCCGGUUUUUUAAGUUCGACCGAGGCCCCCGAAAUCACAGGACCGGCCCUGGCCGGAUGCUACCUAGUUAGCCACCAUAUCAUUGGCAGCCGCCUUCGUUGCUCCCAUCAACACAACGCCAGGGCCGCCGCCGCAUCCACCCUCCAAUCUGCCACCACCAGGUCCACCGCCAACUGUCUAUCAUUGUUUCUUCAUGACAGGUGAGCCCCAGGCCUAGUUUUGAAAACCGGACCAGACCGGUGGUCCGACCGGAAAAAACCGGAACCGGAGCUCUCUGCGGUCUGUUUAGCGCACUGGACUGGACGGCCCAUGGGACUGGGAAAAACCAGGCGAACCGGUGAACCGGACGGUUUAGCUCAAACCGCCCGGUUCAGUUGCCGAUCCCGCGGGGCCACGCCUCUCCACCUCCAGCGCCUCCCCGCCGGUCGAUCCCGCGCCUCGCGUCCGCGGACGCCCGAAUCCAGCUAAUCCAGCAAAGAGAGAGGAGGAGAAACAAUCCGGAGUGAGUGAGAGAGUCGAAGCGGAGACCAACCGGCGGUGACGGCACCCGGGCAACGACGGACGACGAGGAGGAGCGAGGGGGCUGGGGCAACGGGAUGGGGCAGAAGGAAGAAAGGGUGGCGGUGCUCAUCGGCUCGCUCGAGGAGGAAGACGAGCGAGGGGCUGGGUUGCAGCGAUCAUGGGCGGCGGGGCAGGGAUCAAUCUCGUGGUCUCCCGUCGCUCCCGGCCGAGAACACCCCAUCGCGCAGGCCCUGGCGCCAGCAAGAGGAUAAGGAAGGAAAGGUGGGCUUGUGGCCCAUGGAUGGGCUCUCAUGGUGGGCUGGGGGAGGAGUACAAGGCCCGAUAAAAGAAUUGGGUGGGCUUCCUUUUAAGGGAUUUUGUAUGUUUAUUACAACAUAUAUAUGUUAUUUUGUAUCUAAAAAACCGCUCCGGUUCAACCGGUGAACCGGCGGUUCGACCGGAAAAACCUGAACCGAGAGCCUCGCCGGUUCGGUAGUCCGGUUUUCAAAACUAGGGCCCCAGGAUCGUUCCCUCCUCUUAUCUGGGCAAUCCAGCCAGCGCCUCACACCUGCGCCGACGAGGUCGUCCAACGCCGGACCCCGAGCCGCCUUGCUCCCGUCUGUUUCCACGCGUGGGGUUCCGUCGAAUCAGGCCGCCCUUGUGUAUCAGUACUUUGCCAGAAAGAGUGCACCUGCUAGCUACUAGCUCCAUCCAUUAAUUCAGAGAGAUACAUCGUUUGUGGAUCGAAUUUAGCUAGGUACUAAAUACCCUGUUUUAAUUUCCUCAGUUGAUCGGUGUAUAUACAUGCGUCGAAUUUAGCUAGCUUACUAAAUACCCUGUGUUUGUUUAUGCUGCUACAGGUUUUUUUAUGAAAUCUUGCAAUGUGAGAGAAGGCUUAUGACCCGUACGGAAAGUCGGAAACGCAGCAGCAAAGGAUUUUGUGAUAGUGCUUCUCCAUCUUUCGAGCUUUUGGUUUCCGGAGGUCUUCAACCGAGGAGUCAUCCCACUCGCAUACAUAAUCAGGAAGAGGAACAAUAAGACCGGGCUGUCAUUCACCUACUAGACAGCAUCCACCUUUUGUGGAGUGGGAACGCACGGGCAUUUCGGCUAGUUUGUAUAAAUAAUUCAAAGCAGACACGCACUAUUCAGACGCCCGCACAUCGUCCCAUCAGCCGACUCGGACUCGAGCCCGCGUCCGCAGCAUCGACCGAUCUCCACCCAUACUAUAUACACACAGGCACGCACCAAGAGCCCGACCCGCAGCACACGCCGAAAACACAUACCUCGCGGAAACACGCGCAAGAACGCAAAAGCCCUAGGCUCGUUUCGAUGGAUCUGCAGGAGAACUCCACGUUGGUGGUGGUAUUGCGGUGCGCCGACUUGGUCCAGUUCACGGUGCCGGCUUCGCUGGCGCUGCGGUCGGGGCACGUCGUGGCCGCGGUGGCCGACGGGCAGAAGCAGCAUGUGGUGGUGGACCUGCCUCGGGGCGUCUCCAGCAAGGGCGUGGCAGCCGCGAGCGGCGCCUGCGACCUCACGGAGUACGACGCGGGGUUCGUCCGCCGGCUGAGCCCACUGCUCCAGAAAACCUCUCCAGCGGCGGUCAAAAAAUGGGGUUUGUGACGGUUAUCACGUCCGCCACCAACUCUGCGUCACUGGUGUUUUUAGCACCGGUGGCGGGAAUAAAAUACCCGCCACCGAAGACCUACAAACCGACACUGUAAAUCCCUCCGGCACCACCUGAAAAGUGCGUGGAGUACAGCAGUGGCGGGCGCAGUACCCGCCACUGGACAUUUCCAGUGGCGGUCUAUGGCCACCGCCACUGGAACCGUUUCCAGUGGCGGUGGUGCCUAACCGCCACUUCUAUAUUUUCAGUGGCGGUGGCUUAUAACCGCCAUUCGUACUAUUUUUUUCUGAAAAAAAUAAAUGAAUUAUGUAUAAAAAUAAAUAUUCCUAUAGCGCAGAAAUAGUAGGAAUACAGCACAGCACAAAAAAUAGCAGGAAAUAUAUUACAAAAUAGCAGCAACAGAAUAGCAGCAAAUAUAUUACAAAGUUCCACAUGAGUUAAACAUUCAAGUCACAUGCAUGUAUACAAAGUGUUUGAAAGAAUGAGCCACAUAUAAAAGUGUUCCCCAGAAAUUAACCACUUUUGGCGACAAUCCCACCGCAGUAGUAAUCCCCUCUCGUUUUGAGGACCUCCUUAUUGAGGAUUUCGCCAAUGUCCUUCUGGAUCUCGUACAUGAUAAUUUUUGAGUUGUGGUCUAACUCGGCGUUGGCCAGAAAGAAAUUCCUCACUUCUUCGAAGGUCUUCUUCCCCUUCGGUUGGAAGUCGUUGAUGAACUGCUGAAUAGUGUGCGUGCAGUAGUAAUCACAAUAGACUGAUCCUUCAGGCUGUUGCUCGCAGGGGAACCUGAAAGUGUGCCUGAGGAGAGCGUCGGGAUUGCGGCUAAAGCCGGCCAUCGCGUACCAUUUCACCGCGUCGCGAUAGGCUGAGUCGAUGACAUUUUUGAUCGGGUCCCAGUCACGUUGUGGUUCAUUCUCCUUGCGUCGUAGUGGAUCAAAAUAUGUGACCCCUCCAAGAUCGAGGCAGAUGACGAUUGUCAACCAAUGGCCGUUGUUUCACAAAAGGACGCACAUUGUGUCAGCCAAAUAAUAUAACAAGCAAGUCUUCUGAUGGAAAAAGAUGUAUGUAUUCAUGCGAAUUGAAAACAACUUACUGUAGAUGGUACAAUAUCAAUAUAAAACGGCGGUCUUGGGGCUUCAACAUGAAUUGAGUGAGGUAUUCAAUCGCCAACCUUCUACUUUCGGCCAAUAAUUGGUCUGGACCAAGCAAAGUGGCGUUGAAGAGACGGGGGUCGGCGACGGCCAUGCCAUAUUGCUUCACCUUAUAGGCCUCCCUCGUGUAGUGUACACACCACAGUCUUAAUAUGGCGUUGUCGAGGCACUUGCGGUUGAAGAGGUGAAACAAGUCAAGGAAGUCAAUGCCGAAGGUAACGUCGUUUUCCCUCUGGAUUUCAACCUUAUUGGAGUCGAAUAAGCCAUAAUGUUUUGGCACUCGAACCCUAAUUUCCAGAUUUGUUAGGUCUGCGCCUGAUGAUGCCACAUUCAUGUAUUUUUCAUGGAGCUCUUGCAUCUUCCGUGGCAGGCGAUACAGGUCAUCCGGGGACACCAUCAGUUGUCCGGGGUGGAACAACGAAAAUUGGGAGAAUCGCCUAUCCACGAAAUAAGAUCCAUCAGGCAAUCUAUCUCCAACAAGGGGGUGAGUGGGCUUCUUCAGAAUGUCUGGUCGCUCCUCCAAAAUCCCUUCCAUCUGCGGCGCGGUCUUUGGUUGUCUUCCCGUAGAAGACGACUCUUUCCUAUCCUUGGAGGAGCCUUUGCUUGCCUUGCCACCUGUCCCCCUCUUGUUUUUCCUACGUCUCAGGUCGGAAUUGUCCGGUUUAUGGGGGACCUGCAUCCCAGAUGGGGCACUUGGACGGGGCUCCAACGGGGCCGAUGCUACUGCGGCUCUCCGAGGGACGGGUCUUGGUAUUGAUGGAUUCGGGGCUUCGGGUUUGGGCAGCGACAGAGGAUUUUGGCCUGCAUCGUCGUCGCUGCACCCCGCCGCAGAUGAGAAGUCUCGUUCUGCGGGCUCAUAGUCCAAAGGACCGGGUGAGGCGCCAAGCGGCGAUGGACACGUCAGGUGCCGGGUGGGUGGAGACGGACCGAGGCGGGGCGACGGAGAUGUGGACGGAGAGGGCUCCGUAGCGAGGACCACCAACCUCCUAGGCUAGAUGACGAAGGAGUUGAUGCAAUGCCUUAGGGUCGUCGCCUCUUCGUGCGGAGGAUAAGGGACCGGUUCGUCCUUGAAGCCCUUGAGCACGGAGUCCACCUACACCAUGGUCAUGUCGUCUCAUAGGGUCACGUGGUGCACCACAGCCGUACGCGGCAUCAGCAACCCGCGCGCGCCCAGAGGAUUCCCCACCGUCGGCAUGUGUAGCCGGCAUUUGAUGCCCUUCUGCGCAUUACAAACAUGGCAACAUCAUUAAUAGAUUGGAGCAUAAUAGUGGUAUUUCACUAUUUUUCGUACCGCGCGAAGACGCUUACGGUGAGGUUCUCGUCGGGUGGCCCAAGCGGGUCAACCUGGCACUCGGUGCCGGAGCAUGAGGUGCUCUUAUUUCCCAGCGGGGAAGGAUCCGGUGUGGGUGGGGUUGGUUGGAUGGGCGCCGACGGGAAAACACCGUGAUCGAUGAAGUUGUCGAGUUUGCUGUGUUUGCUGACCAUGUGUUGUGUUUGCUGCUCAAGUUUCCGAACGGAUUGAUCCCGUUCGUACUCAUCUCGAACCGGAUGUUCCUGUGCUCUGCGCCGAACUCGGGGAAUUCGUCGUCCAGAGUCCUCCAUUGAGCCGCGUCUGCCGGGUGUCUGAGGACUCCAUCAUCGUUGCGGUACACUCCCUCGGGAUCGAUAUCUGUCUGAGCCGCGUCGUGGUAGACGAACCACCUGGCCUACUUCUCGUUUUGGAACCAACGCUCCAGCCUGGUGCCACACGGGAGAUACCACACCGUCUUUGCCGCUGGACCACGCUUCACUUCUUCCUCCUCGCCGCCGUCAGGAUUGGGGUCUUUCUUCCUGUAUCGGAAUGUUUUGCAUACUGGACAGCUGUGCAUGUCUUUGUAGUCGCUCUUAUAUAUAAUGCAGUAUAGUGGACAAGCAUGGUAUCUGAUGACCUCUAACCCGAGGGGGCAUGUAACUUUCUUCGCCUCGUACGUGCUCUUAGGCAACUUGUUGCCCGGAGGAAGUACCGUACGUAGGUAACUCAGAUCUCCGUGAAUCCCGAGUCCACGAUGUUGUAUUUUGCCUUUAUACGCAAAAGCUCAAGCGUUACUUCUAGCACACUGUUAUCCACGCCGGCAUUUUCAUAUAACGGUGUCUCGGCAUCCUCCCUCAGCUUCUCGAACUUACGGGACACCCUCUCAUCCUCGGGGUCAUCCAAUUGAUUCUGAAGAUGCUGAUCGUCCAGCAUUUCAACCAUCCUACCGGUUGAAACGUCCUUUACUGGAUCCUCGCCACGGUAUGCUUUUUCACCAGGCUGGUCGUCAGACUCCAUGUUUUCCAUCUCAAUGCCAUCAUCGACUUCAAUGCCAUCCUCCCCGUGAGAAGUCCACCUUGAAUAACCAGACACAAAUCCCCGCAUGAACAAGUGCAUCUCGACAUCUUCUGGUCGUACAGCUUGCUGUUUCGAUGUCUCACAUAGGGACAACACAUCUUAUCACCCCAUUUCUUAUGCAUAUCUUCCAUGCCGGCAUCGACAAAAGUCUUCAGCCGCUCUAUCCACUCAACACGUAACUUGUCCUCGUACAUCCAAGCACAGCCCAUCGAGCUACAACACAAUUUUAAAAAAAUAAACAAAUCAGCUUGAUCGACAAAAAUGGAAAAUUUUGGCAUGACAUUUGCUAAAAAAAUAGCAUUUUGCACUACGAAAUUCGAUGCCUGCAUCAAAAACAAAUUACCCCCACCCACAUCGGCACGACGGCCGGUAUCACAUCACAUAAGACAUACACGGCACGAAGGCCGGUGUCAACACACAUUUAAUAUGCUUGAAAAUGCACGUACACCGGUCCCGAGGUUAAGCUUAACCCUAGGGCUAACCCCAGGGGCUAAGCUCCCCCAUAAGCAGCAGCGGCCAUGGACUCCAGAGAGAGAGCUAGAGAGAGAGAGAGAGAGCGCUCAUCGGAGCAAAAUUAAAGCGAUAGAGCGAGGGAUCCGGGAGGGAGGGCCCUCACUAGGGUGAGGGAGAGCUCUAGAGACAGCGGGGGCAGCCCAGGAGAGCCGUCGGAGAGAGAUCGGGGCCGGAUUUGCCACCACCGGCCACCACGCCAUUAAUGGCUUUUUGGCCAAAUUGAAGAAGAAGAAGCGGAGGAAGAAGUGAGAGAAAGAAGAAGGAGAAGGGUGGGGGAGAGCUACCUUGGAGCCGUUGUCAUCAAUUUUGGCAGGGCUUCGCCGCCGGUGAGAAGCAGAGCCGCAGCUGGUCCAAGACAGAAGCGCGAGCUCGAACAGCUUCGGCCUCGCAUAGUAGUUAUAUAUAUGAAGGUCACCCGUGGCGGGUGUACGGAUAAACCGCCACUGGUGACCUCCAGCGGCGGGCGGAAAAAUAAACUGCCACUGGAAGCCUCAGCAGUGGCGGGUAACUUGAGACCCGCCACUGAAGAUCACCCACCUGUUUCCCCACUUUAGUCCCACCUCGCUAGUUUACACGAGUUCUGACCAGCAUAAAAAGGAUUUCGCCACCUCACUUACCGGUGGUUACUACUCAGUGCUCAGUGCGUUCCCCGUUCCGGUUAAGUACUAAACUAAUGAUCAUGCGGUGCUUAAGAGGUUCAGAGAAGGUCACUAAGACUGAGUAGCACCAUCAUGUAUGAGGUGGUCUACCAGUGGCGGUUCUUUUUUACGGCCGCCACUGAUGGUUGUUAGGGUUUCCAUGCGCUUUUCCAGUGGUGGUGAAAACACCGCCACUUGUGAGUGGCGGUGAUUUGUUUCGGGACAAUAUUCACCGUCACUAGUGAUUAGACAACAAUGGGCUCGUGGAUGUCUCGAGAGGCCUCCAGUGACGGUGUGUCUUUUGGUCCGUUUUAACCGUCACUGGAGGAGGAUCACGAAUGGGGUUUUCUGUAUCGGCGGCGGUGACUCUCGUCACGGCCCCCGCGCCCGACCACCUCGACGACGAGGCACUCUUCGCACUCUUUCCGGCUUAAAUGCUUAAAUUAGCUAGUUCCAGCUUGUUAAUUUCUGUUUGCCCGACCGGCUGCUGGUUUCUCUUCGAUCUGCUGUUAAGUGUACCAGGAGUACUCCGUAGUAGUACUCGCUUAAUUAAUUGUCCCAAUGCAGUGUCGUCGUAGUUCGAUCUGCUAUAUAUUUUGAUAAAGAACAAAUAAGAGUUGUAUGCCCACUUGUAUGUGUUCUGCCCAUUUAUUAUUCCAUUUAACUCGCAAUCUCUGUAAAUCAGUUAGGAGCACGGGACUAGCGCACGCAUUAUUAAAGAAAAAAGAUGAAACGCAAUUAACCCGCGCAACAAGCAAAACUUUCCUUUUCUUUGCGUGAACGAAACCAAAUACGAAGCCUAAUACUUAUCGGAACUGCUCCAUGAUAUUUAUACCUAUCUAAAAAAUACGAACCGUUUCUUUCACCGUCGUCUGUCAAACUUUCCAAAAAAAACUUCGGAUUGGACUGGAACUCCGCGAGGGAAUCCAUCACCAGCGGGAUCGUUACGAGAGUCGGGCAACAACUCCAAAUCUGAGUAAGGAUUCCCAAAAAAAUUGUGGGCCUUCAAGAUUGUAUGUAUAAUUGAAUUGGACUGGAACUCCGCGAGAGAAUCCAUCACCAGCGGGAUCGUUACGAGAGUCUGGCAACAACUCCAAAUCUGAGUACGGACAGUUCCCUUCACCGUCGUCUGUCAAACUUUCCCAAAAAAAUUAUGGGUCCCCCAAGAUUGCAUGCAUAUUAGGCCUACUAAACCGGAUAGCCCGUUUCCUGCACCGAAUUGGACUGAAAACUCCGCGAGAGAAUCCAUCGUCAGCGGGAUCGUUACCAGACUCGCGCAACAACUCCGAAUCAGACAAAAAAAAGGAAUAUUUAAAGAAGAGCAAAGAGAGAUUUUGAUGCAUGUUUUUGAAUGUAUCAUUUAUUUUGUUGUUUCAUCGCAACACGGUAAACGUUCGUACCAGAAUAACGCAUGCUGUAGGACGUUGUACAGUUGUACUGCUACAGCACAUACACGAACAAAAUAAAUGCCCAAUGGCCCGCGCCUUAUACAAAGACGAGCAACGGAUGGGAGAAGGCCCCGCGCGCGAGAGAAGCAAGGCAGGUAGACCGUCGAUUCCCGCCGCAUGGACCGUCCGCUGGCGCUGUCUUGGGUGCCCCGGCAGAAGAGCAGGUUCGCUUGUGCGCAUCAUAUCCACGUCAAACACACCAAGGCCAUUGUACACUUGUAGAGCUGGCUUCCAUCUCCCACGGAACUGAAUGUCACGCUUAAUUAAGAUACAUGGACAUGGUAUCAGACUCGCCAAAUGUAAUUUACUAACUGAUGGCAAAUAAUGCAGUAUUGCUAGUUAGUUUUUAUAAUCUGGGUAUUGUGAACACGUAUAUGUAUAUGAUGUUGCUCCGCAGGUAAGAAAGUUUUUAUCAACAGUUUGCUAUAUCUAAGUUGCUCGAUUUUUAGUUAGAGAUAAGUUGAUUCUUCGGACGUUGGAUAUGAUUUGUGUUUCAAGAUUUGAAACGGAUAAUGAAAAAAGAAGGAUAAAUGAGAUUUAGAUACUAAUCCAACGGUUCUGAUUCGUCAACUUACAUGUAAACCUUUUACUUAAAAAGCAAUCUCAGUUGACGUAUCAGAGCCGUUGGAUUAUUAUUUAGAAGUCAUCCCACUUUUUUCCUUCCAUUGUUCGUUCCAAAUCUUAAAACAUAAAUCAUAUUCAAUAACUCAGUAAUCAAUUUAUCUCUAACCAGACAAUAGCAGCAGAACCGUAUAACUUUUACUAAUUCCCCUUUAAAACUGAUCACUCCUAACUUCAUGGGACCCCAAUCAUUACAUCAACUGGCAAAAUAAAAUAUUGUCCAAAUGAUAUGUGCCUGAUUCCCACCCAUGGGAGUCUGGGACAUACUGGUGGACAUCAACAUCAACACCAAUUAGGUCAUUGUACCCUUCACACUUGUACUGCAAGGCUCAACUGAAACGUCAAGUUCACUUGCCCAAUCGGGAGUAGUAACAAUCAAGAAAACUGGAACAAUCCUCGCGAAAAAAGAAAAGAAAACUGGAACAAGACGCUCAAAAUGUAAAUAGUACAUAUCAGAUCAAAUUUAAUUACUACACUGUAGCACACAACACACAAUUAGCGCAACACUGUUAAAUUUAUUAUACCGAUGGACAUAUUUUAUCCCGCGCGAACGGAAGAUGGAUCCAUCCGUCGAGUUUGAUUUCUCUUGUGGCUUGUUGUAGCUAGCUAGAGCUAGAGCUGGCCGCAGUCAGUGAUGACGACGGGCUUGAGCGUCUUGCCGCUCCAGGAUCCGGCCUUCUCGACGGCGCGCACGACGGGCAUGCUGCUCUCAAGCACGCGGCCGAAGGCGACGUGGCGGCCGUCGAGCCACGGCGCCCUGUCGAGCGCGACGAAGAACUGGGAGCCGUUGGUGUUUGGCCCGGCGUUGGCCAUGGACACCACCCCGGGCGCGUCGUGACGCACCUCGAACCCUUCGUCGUGGAAGUACCGCUGCCCGUCCGCCGCGGCCACCGCGGCCUCGCCGCCCGUGCCGUUGCCCGCCGUGAUGUCGCCGCCCUGGCACAUGAACCCUGGCACCACGCGGUGGAACGCGGCGCCCUUGUAGCUCAGCGCGCGCCCGGAAGAGCGGGACCGCCGCUCGCCCGUGCAGAGCAGCCGGAAGUUCUCCGCCGUGCGCGGCACCUUGUCCGCGUAAAGCUCGAUCUCCACGCGACCGGCGGGCGUGGUGCCGAUGGCGAUGUCCAGGAACACUCUGGGGUUAUUGGACUUGGACGACGCCAUGAAUUUGGAGGGAGGGAGUAGAGCUAUAUAUAUAUCAGCUACGCAGGCCACUCGACAGUCGGCACUCGUGAGUCGGGAUCUUGCUGACUCUGUCUUUGGUUGAGACUUGCAAGGGAUCGGAGAAGGUGAUGGUUUAUAUAUAGGUGCAGCUGGGGGCAUGGCGACGUCUGCUUGUCUAGAAAAGGGGAUAUAUGCUUGAUGCUUCCAGCGAUUAUACCGCGUAAAUAUAUAUGCCCACUCUAGGACAGCUCUUUUUUCUCGUGUAAAAUACGUAUACUCGAAGACGACGACUCUGUUUAGAGAGUCUCUCCAAUAUUUAGACGACAGUGCGGUAUGUAGUCGUCCGGUACGUCAGCUCCAAACCUUUUCUAGAAACCUCUCUCUCUCUCUCUCUCUCCAAUAAACAUCCCUAAAACUGAAAAUGUUUUCCACCACAAACAGUUUAUAUAGGUUGACAAUCUGUUUCAUUGUUAGAGUUCUCAUUGUUAUGUUUCUUUGUGACUGUUGACAAUCUGAUGCUGCUAUUCUGCUAGAAACAAAGGAAGAGUUUUUUUUUCAGAGCCAAAGGCCCACGCGCUGUUCCAUUCUCAUUGAAAAUGAAACAACACUGUCUUACAAUAGAUGCGGAAAACUGAAAAGUAAACAGGAUACACCCUAUCGGGUGCCUAGAACCAACAUCAACGAGCAGAACAUUCAGCCAUUACAUGCACACACCACAUUACAGGCAAACACCAUCAGCCAUUCAGGACAAUGCACGCCGUGCGCACUAAGCAUGAGGAGUUUCAGGCCCUGCGAGUAGAAUCUUCCUUUUCUUCAUCAGAGCAGGAUUCGGGGAGCCUCCGACACCUUGUUCUCCAAGAGCAGCAAGUAGUUCUUCAGCGUAGAUAGGUUCUUCUUGGGCACAAAAUUUUCCAGCGCUUUAACAAGCACAGCAGCCCGUGCCAAAUCACCCCUAGACUAGACCAAAGCACACGACCAAAAUGUAGAUCACUUCUGAAUUUCCAAACAGUCCACAGAAAAAACCAUAUUAGUAACCACAUGCUUGUUAUUACAAAGCCACCAUUUAGCAACAUGUUCAUAGAAAUUCAAGAGUGGAACAUCAAGCAUAACUGGAAGCUCGGCCCAGAACAGUUUAGUAAUAUCACAGGGAGAAGAACAAAUCCUUUUCGGAAAAAAAAAAGGAGAAGAACAAAUGGUUGAUGCUUUCAGGUUCACAGCACAUAAAACAUGAGGCAUCUGGCACAUGUUGUCGUUUGGUCAGAUUAUCUCUAGUUAAUAGCCUAUUGUGUGACAAGAUCCACAAGAAGAAAACGCGGGGUGAUAUUUACUUUCCAAAGCGCCUGCACAAACACAGGAGUAAUGCCCCUGAAGUUAACUACCACAUACAACGACUGCACAUUGUAAAUGCCAGAAUUGUGCAGCCGCCAAAUCAUCUGGUUAGGCUCCUCAGACAAUGAGACAGCUUCUACAAUAGCAACCAACUCAUACCACCUUUGCAUCAUAUGCUCAUCAAAACCUCUCCGAAAGGAGAUUUUCAGCUCCCUACCGUCCCACACCUCACUGUAAAUAAAAUAUAUAUCCCAAUAUUGGAUAGCUAAGUUGGAACUACCGAACCACAUGUCCUCCCAAAACCUAACAGUUUUACCAUUCCCCAGUUAUACCCUUGCUUAGCAGCAUGAGCAGCCCACAUAAUUCCUUUCCAAAAUGGAGAAGUAUUGUUAGGUGAAUUGGCAAAUAAAUUGGCUAUAGGUCAUCAUACUUAUAAUCAAUGAGCUUCUCCAAAUUUUCUAGGAAUCAAGCUGAUACCUCUUAAUCCGUGAGGCAAGCAACGCCAAGUUAAGAUCUCUAAGAUCGAGAAUUCCGAGUCCACCAUACUCCUUCAUAGAGACAAGCUCCCAAUUAGCCAGGUGAUAUUUCCCAGUCCAUCAUAGUUAUCCCACAAGCAGGGGGCCAUUUGGAACUCAAUGGCCUGAAUGGCCCGGGCAGGAAACUUGAUCACAGAGAGCAAGUAGAUAGGUUUGCUGGCAAGACAGCCAUUAAUGAGCACCAAUCUGCCCCCAUAGGCACCAAUCUGCCUCCCUCUCCAGCCAUCCACCCUUUUGAUAACUUUGUCAACCACAUGCAGAAGGGCCUCCUUAGUAAGUUUAAUAUGGUGUAGAGGGACAUCAAGAUACUUUAUGGGAAGUUGAUUGGUUUUGCACCCAAAAUGUUGAGUAAGUCUACAAAGAUCAUUCUCAGGCAGAUUAAUGGGGAUCAUAUCACUUUUAUCAAAGUUGAUUCUCAUGAACAUAGCUAAAAUCCACUUGAGGUUUUGUGCCUUCUCCAGGUUGUUUUCAAGGAAGAUUAAUGUGCCAUCAGCAUACUGGAGGCUAAUCAACCCCCCAGGCCUGAAAUUAGUAAGAAAUCCAGCAAUGAGGUCAUUUUGGACUGCUUUAGCAAACAUUUUGGAAAACACAUAUCGAACCUGCCUCAGCCUUCCCAGUUUCAAAGAAGUGGCUCUCAACAUCCUUUAUGCAUCAGAGCUUUAAUCUUGUUUCUCUAGUUAAGGCUAAAACCUCUCAGCUCCAACAUUUGAUCCAAGAAGGACCAGUCUACUCUCUCACAUGCCUUUUCAUAAUCUAGUUUCAGGAUAACAUCUUCCCCAUUUUUCCUAUGUAGUUCAUGGAUUAUCUCAUGAGCAGAAACCACACUUUCUAGAAUAAACAGACCUUUUAUAAAAGCAGUUUGGUUAGAGGAGAUCAACCUGCCAGCACAGGUUCCCAGUCUGUUAGUACAAGCUUUGGCAAAAAAAAACUGCAGUUAGUAAGGGCUAUAGGCUUGGGUUUUCUUUUCAAAAUGGAGGCCAAAAGCCCCGGCCUCUGCAUCAGAAUGAUGCACACAACCAAGUUUAUUGAAUUAUUAAACAAGUCCGACAAGACAAAUACAACGAUCAACCAAACAAAAACCACUGGGCUAUACCUACAAUUCUGAUGAAGGGGGUGGCCAUUACCAAGGCACAGCAUUCCCGGACCGAACACCACUGCCCGACAUCCAAAUCCAAAGGACAUGAAGGCACAAGCGUUCAAGCAAUCCUCAAUGUGUGUCGUAUGCACAUGCACCAUAAUCGUCCGCCACCGUCAUCCACCAACACAUCGUCAGGAUAGUGAUCGAAGCAUUGACAAUGACAGACUUGGCAUCGACGAUGCAAACUAGUGCCACCGACUAGCACGCACCCAGCAGCCGUCAACCGACCAGGACCUCCACACCCACAGAUCUAGCGUUCCCCCAACGGCGCCCCCAACGGGGACGUGACGCCAAUGACGUCGCCGCCGCCCAAUCCAAGGACUUUGGGAUUUCACCCGAGAACCUAGAGCGGGGUGGAAAGGAAGUACCUUGAUAACGCCUCAGAAGGGAAAGAUGUCUAUAGACACCACCGCCUUCGUGUAGCAAACCGCACCACCGACACCUCACCUUCUCAAGAGUCGACGAAGGUCUUCGACUGGCCAGAUCCAACGAGGAGAAGAGGAUCCAUCAGUGGCCGCACUCUGCAGCGCAGACCCCACCAUGCUGCCUGUGGACGUGCCGUGAAAGGCAGAUCGCCCAGGCCCAGCCAACAGGCCGCAAGAGCGCCGUUGCCAACCGCCAGGGCAACCACACCGCGAGCCGAGGCCAGGGCUGUCGCCACCGGGGAACACCACGGAGACAGCCGCCUCGUCAACCACCACCGAGCGCAGCCAUGGAGGCACUUGACGACUCGCCGAGCAAAAACGUGAAUGAGAGCCCUGCCACCGCAGUGGCCGCGCGGGCUUUGCCUGGUGGCGCGCCCUGGUGGCGGCAAGGGAGGGGCUGAUCUAGGAGAGUGUUUCGGGAGAGAGUUUCGGAAGGGAUGUGUGUGUGUGCGCGCUGGAGCCAUAGGGCUAUAGGCCUGUACUUCUUAAGGGAAGUGGCAUGAGUUUCUUUUGGGAUAAGGGUAAGCAUGGCAAAAUUCAACCUGAACAGGUAUGCUUGAUUCUGGUCAAAAUCUCUAAAUGGAGCCAUCAAAUCCUCCUUAAUAGUUUCCCAGAACUUUUGGUAAAACAGAAAAGGAAAACCAUCUGGGUCAGGAUAAGACUGGAAAACAACAGUUUUCACCUCUUCUUCAGUGAAUUCCUGAUCUAAAAUAGUGUUUUCCUCAUCAGAAACCUGCUCUUCAGGACCCCAGAAAGUCCUCAUUGAUCCAAAGAAAGAAGCUAACACAAGCAAGAACUGGAUGACCGAGUUAUCAUCUUGACUUGGGUUAUGCCAACUUGUGUUGUGUUUCGUAAUCGGAGCUACUCGUCCUUGCGUACUUUGCCCAAGAGAAGUGAUCUUUGCUAGGUUGUCUUUCGGUGGUCUAGCCAUUAGUUGUUAUGUUCCAUUGCGACGAUUGCUUCGACUAAAUUCCAUGUUGGUGUAUUUUGAUGAAAAAACUCCAUGGCUUCCAGGCUCUAAUAAAUAAUUACGUCAACACACUAUUAGAGACAGAUUACUACGCAAGUUCUAAUAAAUACUCUCCGCUCUAAAAUAUUUGAUGUUUUCUAAAUUUUAGAAAAAGACAUUGAAACCAUCGGCCUUUCCAUCAAAUGAUGUAGACAAAUUUUAUACUCCUUUCGAUCCAUAAUAAGUGCCAUGGAUUUAAUACAAAGUUGUCCGAUCCAUAAUAAGUGUCUUGGAUUUAGUGCAAACUUGCUAACUUUGUGCUAAAAUACAAUAUACUUAUUAUUAAUCAGAGGGAGUAGAACAAUCUAACAACAUAUACAAGUCUAAAGUAGUUUUAUUAAUCCUAUCAUGAUAUAUAUUUUCAUACUAUACUUAUUUGCCGUUGUAGAUAUCAGUAUGUUUUUUCAUAAUUUUGCUAAAAGUUGGAGAAGUUUGAUUUGAACAAAGUUAGAAAAUCUUAUAAGUUGGAUACAUGAAAUAGUUAUAGUUGAUACUGAUAGCCGUUCAGCAAAGAUCUUCUCACAUCUUUUGUAAGUUACAUGAAUCUCAUGUUCAAAUCGGAUGGUUCUUAGAGGUGACUUAGAAUAGUUAUUUCUUCAACGGCUGAGAAAUUAAAAAAAAACAUCUUUCAUUUUCUCAGAACAAAAAUUGCUAUAAUUUUAAUUUUUUUAUGUGGACAGCAAGGUGGUGCGGGACGCAUAUGCGUGCAAAGUGUUUUGCACGGCUAUUAUUUGAGUUGCUAGCUGGACAAUCACAUCAUGUUUCUUUUGUGCCUUUUGUUCUCUUUGUGGCCGAAAUUUGGAUAUGCAAGAUCGCAUCUUGUUGGAGUUAAUGUAAAUGCAAAGUAGGAUUCUUAUUCGAUGGUCACGAAGCUGUCAUAGGUGUUUACAUAUAAGAGUAGUGCAUAUAUUUACACACGCGGAAUGGCUUUUUUGGAGGGAAUAUGUGCAUGGGUGAGCAGAUUAACUGGGUUAUGUAUAAUGCAUUAGAUGCACCACUACUAGCUCCUCUCAGUCCUCGAUCUAUGAUUAAACCAUCUAAUAAACUACAUGUGCAGCCUAUCGUAUACUAGUCAUACUCCUUUCUAUCCAUAAUAAGUGUUGGAUUUAGUACACAAUUGCACAAAUUUUGUACUAAAUUUAAGACGCUUAUUAUGGAUCGGAGGGACUACAUACUAUGCUAACUACAAAUUAAAAUAAAUUUUUCGUACAUCAAUGUGCAGGGAUGAUUACAACAAGUUGCAUGAACGAGAAGCAAUACACUGGCUACAACAUACCACAGACAGUUAUGGUUAAAAUCCAUUUUUCUCAUACAGUUUCAAUUCAAACAUCUGUGAAAGGAAGAGAAUUGCACCAGAGGUCUCUUUUUAACUCAUAGACGGAAAAUGUUCAUUACAUAAACUUUUAAAAAUCGUGUAUUUAAAUCCUUGAACUUAGCGAGUGGAAACAUCUAAUCCAAAUCAUAUUGUAGAGUUCUAAUUUGCCAUGUGGAUAGUGCAGCGAUUUCAGGAGAACUGGAGGGGUUUAGCAAAAUGUGGACUACACGGCUUCAAAAUAAAAAAUGGGAAAAAAGAAGAACAACAAUAGACACGAGGCCAUCUUCUUUGGAAACACUAGCCUAAGGACGGUCAUCGUUAGCCCAAGAAUCGAUUACAUAGAGUAGUCACAAACACCGAUCAGAUAGUUUUGCCAUUUUUUAUUUUGAAGCCGUUGCGCAAGGGAUUUCUGCUAAAUUAUAUUGCCCUUGAUUAUGAUCUAUGGCCCCCCUUGCUGCCGUGCAUAGGGUCAACGAGCCACGUAGGCAUGUCAAAUGUGUCAGAAUCAUCUUAAGACCCCGUGUAAACCACUUUAAAUAAAAUUAGGACAUAAGUGUGCAAUUUCAUAAUUUUAGGACUAAAGUGACACCAACUCAAAUUUAAUAGCACAAGCGGGUGCAUUACCUCUUUCUUUUGAAAGUAAAUGCAUUAAAAAGACAAUUUGAGUCAACUGGAAAGUAAAUGCAUUAAAAAGAAUUAGGUAUCUCCUUUUUACAUCAGUGAAGGGAAAAAUAUAGAAACACAAGGCGAGAACAGAUCCACUCAGAAUACCAGUUUCUUAUUAUUAUUUAAAGAUCCACUAUACGGAGAUGCUUUUGUGUCAAUGCAGCUUGGUCGAAAGCAAGAGCAAAAAGGACGGUGCUUGGAUGCAUGGCCUUUCGGUUUCAGCUCGGCCUACUGGCGCACGUAAUUAAGUGCUUUACAACUGGAACGUACUCAACCAAGUUUAUUUGCAACACUCUUUUUUUGGCUGCAAGUUUAUUUACAACACUCUGAUGAGUCGUCGAACCUGCAUGUACACUUUGUUAGGCAAGCUAGGCAGCUAGAUAGUAGUCAAAUAUUCUUAUUCCCAUUGGCCCGAGGUGAUGCACAAACAACACAUAGAUUCAUCAAUUUUCAAACGAUUUUUGUAUGCGUAUGAAUCAACAGCUUCGUUCACACGUUUACAUCAUACGAAUUAUAUAGUGACAAGAUUCUCUAGCUGGCGUCCGAAAGUGCACACAAGGAAGCUUCAUGGACGUACGUUAUCACCCUCGACUUGAUGAACAUCGAGUCCAGGGCAUCAGUUGCGACACCAAUAGAUAUCGUUUUCGCCCAAGAAUCCACACUUUGGUCUCCCGAAAGAAAAAGGUGAUAGAACCCUCACUUUGGUCUUUGGUCACAGCCACAGGUUAUGAAGCUUGCGCAUAUUUACCGGACGAAAACCGAACUGAACCGAAUUUUGAUUUUUGGUUUGUGAUCAGAGACCAUUUUGUCCCUUUUUUGUAGAACUUGACCUCGUGCUAUAUGCUACACGUACAUACAGUACCGUUGAGACUAGUUAUGGUUGUGUACUUAGGGCUUUCAUGUACUCAUGCUCUAAAUAUUCGCAUCAACAUUGGUUACUUUAGUAUUUACCCAAAAAACCAUACCAAAAUGGUUUAUAUAUAUUCGUAGGAGUACUGUAUUUAACGAAAUAUUAAUACCAUAUUCACUGAAACGACUUACCGAACUAAGUUCCCAGGCCUUGCACGGCUUACACUUGCCUUUUCCGAAAAUAUUGAAACCAUGCUUCAACAAGUUUCACGAUUCGGUUCUGCAUGGUGUGCAGCGAUUGUGAUAGUGUUUAUCACUGGACUGGCGGUCAUAACGGCAUCACAAAAAUGGAGUUUUUUUUUUAAUAAACUGAAAACUGAAGAAGAGACCCUGCCAGUACAUUCGAAGAAAUAUUUACAAUAAGGAGCAAGAAUGUACAAAGGACAGGAGGCUUUUAAGGUUCGAUGAAUAUCAAGGAAUUCUAACGUUCCAUCCUUCAGCUUCAAGGGGGUUAAAAAUGACGUAGAUGCACGUCACCAUUUCCACGCCAAAUGUAGUCCUACCAUUCUUCUGUAGAUUUGCUUGCGCUGCUUCUGGAGUGGUCGGAGUGGUAUCUCUACUGAGGUAGGCAUGACCUAUACGUAUGGCAGAGCACAGCAGCAGUGCCAUGAAUCCCUUGGGUAAUACUCCCUCCGUCCCAUAUCAAGUGACGAAAUAUUACAUGUAUCUAGACGUCUUUUGAAUACAUAUACAUCCAUAUUUAGACAAGUUUAAGUCAAUGUGGGACGGAGGGAGUAUCUAGUAACUGAACAAUGUUAUACACCUAAUUUUCUCAGUACAACAAUGGUUUAUGAUAAAACCGUUUGAUGUUCCAGUGAAUAUAAUUGCUAGAAUACACUCUUCCCCUAUCCAUUUCUACUUGAAGUACCCAAAAUCAACUGAAAAUGGUCUAACGAAUAAGGCUACGAUCCGAGCUGCUACUGGCCUUAGAAGUUUUGAGUAAAGUACUGACCUUGGUCCAUACAUUCACAAAAUAUCAUGGGACCAAUUUUGACAGGACUUAACUGACUAAUCAAUUCGAUCUGUGAAAGUUACCAAAGUGAUUUCUUAGAAAAAAGAUACUACAAGUUUACAAAACUUACAUGAUAAUGCUACUCUGAGAAAGACCGGGAUACAAUAAUGUGGCAAUUUGAGUAAGUGACCUAACCAACGGUUUAAAAUUGGAAUGCUUCUCUAAAGCUGCAAAUAAAGAAAAAAAAAGUGAGAAAGUGAAUGAAUUGCGCAGCAUAUUGUUAACAGAUUAAGUGAACCCUUAAAAAUUAUUUACAAAAUCUUCAUUUCAAAUAGGAAGCAUACCGUGAAGCAUAGCCUUGAUUCCCUUGGAAAAAUCUUCAAACCGACCCAGUACUGGCCUGAUGCCACAUGACUGGGAUACGCACAGUUCCAUGUAAAGUGAUGUUUCAAGAAUCACCAACAGAAAAUGGCAUAACCUAUCUGUCUCACAGCCGAGACUGCUCGAUCCAUUUGCCUGCAGUACUUCAGUAACAAUGGAGACCACUUGAUCCUGGAAAGAUCACAGCAACUUAUCAGGAAAAACACAAGCCAACAAAAUAUUGAUUUCGCAUUUCUGACAUAGAUCUGAUCAUGGUCCAUGUGAAAUUGGCAAAUAGCCCAUAGCAUUUCCUAUGAGCUGGACUAAGUAAUGAUGAGCUUUCUAGCCAUCAAUGUCUUCAAAACAAGGGUUUUGAUAAGAUCCGAGAAGUCUUUUAGGAUAAAUCGGAGAAUCUAAUAUCUUAUAAUACUACCUAUGAAACAAUUUUUCUUUUCAAUUUUACAUUAAUUUCCGAGUUAUUCGAGUGUUCGCUUUAUCACUCAAAACCUAAUCUGAUUGAUGGCUAGAAUCAUGCUUUUGAUUCCAUGUAACUGGAAGGUAAUACAAGAACAGCGAUUUCAACAACCAUGUGAAUAUCUGACCAUUUUACUUGAAACUAAGAGUUGUAAAUAAUCAACUAACUUUGAUUACUCCAAACCUUGAAAUCUCAAUGUCUAAAUUUCUAACGACUUAGUACUCACCAUACAAUUUGAAUUGAGGGACAGGAAACAAUUAAGCACCUAAGUAUUUCAUAAUAUGAGAACAUGAUGAUACUACUGUGAUUCCACACGAUUCUAAGAAAUAAUGAUUAGACCAGGUAUAUUGUUACCCGAACAGUUGCAUGCAGAUCUGAGUUUCACCAUAAGACUGAAGUCAAUAUUGCACCAAGCUCUAUCAUUUGCUCUAUGCCUCUAUGGUACUUAUUCACAAAAUGUAUAUGUAAUUAAUCAUUCUCUACAAAUGUUACACUCGAUACAUUUCUAGGCCUUAGCACCUAAGAAGUUUUAUUUGGAAGUUUGGAACGUACGUUACAACAUCGCAGAAAGCAGCCUAUAAUAAGAGCGUAAGGCAACAGUCAUAGUUAACUGCAGAUCUAUUGUGCAAAGAAAAAUAGUUACCUGCAGACCAUGAAGAAUAUCUGGCAUGGGAAGUUCAGGAAAAUGUGCAAGGUCAAGAAACUCUAGCUCUUCUGCUCGUUUUACUGCCUCUUUUGCUUGACUGCACAGGAAUUUCAUAAUAAGAAAAGCAAUUCUGUAGACUUGUACAGCCAUCAUCUCGGUAAAACGAGUCUGUUUCACAGAAUCAGAAUCUCCAGCGCUUUUGUCUCUGAUCACUAAAGAUAAUGAUGUGUUCGAAGGAGCAGACACUACUGCCGUUGACAAAGCACUACUUGCAGCAAAUUUGAACCAUCCGUAUUUGCUCCUGAUGAGUGGUGGAUCUUCAUGAAGCAACAGUUCUUCUUUACCGGUAGGAGGGCAAAAAAAUGAUGGGUUCCAGUUUGGAGAAUCACCAGUCCUUGCAGUUCCUCUGCUUAUAAAUGCAAGAAGGUGGAUGAUAAUCUCUCUUAAUUCAGAAUCUACUUCCAUCAUACUUGUGUCCCGUGGAAAAUGAUAUUUUGCUAAAAUACAGAGAAGUGUGAGGAUAUUCUCAGUUAGACUGAGAGCUGAAAGUGAUGUCUGUGGCUGUUGCAAUGGCGCUCUUUUCUUGUUUUGAUGAGUGUUAACACUUUGGGCAGAUAGAUAGGAUGACAUCAAUGGCACCUGUCCUGAGAGGAAGUUGAUAGUACUGUUCGCAACACUGUUCCGAGAAAUAUCAUCAUCCAUACAAUGGUUGAGAGAGGCAACUAUAGCAAGACCCAAACCCCAGAGGUUCACAUCCUUUGCUUGGGUGCUCAAAGAGUUUCUAUAACAAGAGUCAUCCAAAGACAACUGACUCAGAAGUACCUUCAAGAAAGCAAAAAUAUUUGCAGACUGAAGAAUUUUAGCACCAUCCUUUGUUCGCCCCAAGGUCAAGAGAAAAUUCAAUAUUACUUGAGUAGACAGUAUCACUCCAUUCUGACAUUUAUGCAGUAUUGCCUGGAGACAGAAAUGCUUCUGUAGAAUAGGCACCCAUACAUGAGGAGGUAGAACGCCCUUCAAUAUUAAGUCCAUUGAUCCAAUAGCAAGCUCAGAAUAUUCCUUAUUCUCAGCCAAUUUGCAGAGUACAGGCAACAACUUUGUACUUAUAAGGGAUGACUCACCAAACAGAUUAACAUCACCUGAUUCAUCCUUCAUGUCAUCCUCAACAUAAAUGAAUUCAAAUAAUGACAAAAGCAGAACUAGGAGGGCCUUCACUGGUUUCUUAAGAGCAGCACUGGCUGGCAUGAGAUCAACCAAAAAUGAAAUGCUAGCACCUGCGGUUUUCAUAAGAAUUACAAUAACUGAAUGCAGAUCACGAAAGCUCUUGGUUUGCUUAGCUUGAUGAAAUAAGAUCCUGGUAAGGGUAAGCAAUAAUUCCACUUGCCCGGACAAGAGAGGAAACAAAACCUCGUUUGUAUCAACUUCAGGAAAUAGCAGAUCAACAGUUGACUGGAAAGAUUUGCACGCAUAUCUAAUUGCUGAUCGUGUAGUAGUUGCGGAAAUCCCUCCAUCAGGUAAGUCAAGCUUAUUAUUGGUACUCUGGAAAGAUUGUAAGGUUAGUGGACAAAUACAAAAUGAGUAAAUUACACAAGGUGCUAGAACCCAUCCUGUUUUCUACUUUAGGGCCAUCAAAUUAGGGUUAUGUCGACAAGUCCAGUUACUGACACACUAACAUAGGUUUAUGAACCCACAAAGCUAAGGCUGAUGUUUAUAAACUAAGGUGCAAUUACCAAAGAACAAAGUAGACAACAGGAUGCAGAAAAAGUGGCACAAAUGAAAAGAUCCAAGUUAACAACUUACUGUUCCAAUGUAGACAGAUAGAAAUGUUAUGAAGGACCUCAAUGUACAAAGCUUUGCAUCAGCAUGGGACUUCAUCAGAUUUGCUUUAUGCAUGAUAUCCAGCAUUUUAUCAGCUACUACUUUGCACGGUUUCCAGUCUGAAUGACUCCAAAGAUCUACUCCAAGCUCAUCACGCAUGCGUGCAACGUCAAACAAAAAAUUUCCAUUGGCUGUUUGGAAGGUGUUACGUGGUUGCUCCGAAGGAUUGCGUUCAAAAAACCGAAGCUCGAGAAGGAAACACAAAAGCUCCUGAAAGGGACCAGGAGUAAUCGGACGACCUUCAAGUUCUCCAUGUAUAUGAUAGUACAGAUCACUGAUUACCAAUUUGGUAAGUUCUUGUUCAUCACUGCACAUGUGUAGGAGAUACACUAGAAAUUAGCACAAAUAAUUUUGAAGGAUUCUAUAAAAACGGUGAUUAUUUUGUUUACCAGACUAGCAAUACAAUUAAUAUGCCUAAAAGAUCAGAGCAAAAUAUACAUUAGAUGGUGCAAACCAAAUUCAGCACCAACAUCUCAGUAGGUCAAUAGCCUAAUAGGAUGCUAUCUAUUCUCAUUUAUUCCAAAACUCAUUAUGGCCAAAGCCAGUGGAUAUCCAGCGCCAAGUAUCUAAUAUGGUGAUCAAGCAAAUGUAUGAUCUAGUAAACCAUGCGUUCAAUCAAGCAAAGCUGCCAUCCAUAUUUCUUAUGAGAAGGUCAAGAAUAAGGUGAAAUAGCAAAUACACAGCCAAAUUCCAGUAACCUUGGUCCACAACUUGCAUGUUUCGGGUUCUACCUCUUCAUAGAACAACUUUCUCCAAAACAAUAACUGUUUCACAAGGAACCUUCAAGCAAUUCUGUUGCCCUUCCAAUUGAAGGUUAUAAGUACCGAAGAAGAAUUUUCAAUAUUAAGCACUCAGCAUCCAACAGAUACACAGUCACUUAUGUGCAAACAAAACUUACUCGUAAACUGCAUUAAGAACUUAAAAAGGGUACCUGUAGCCAUGCAAGGCAUAUUGGGACAGCAGAGCCAAGAAUGCACGGUGUUGUAACAACUGCAUACAGACACAAAAAAAGAACAGAAUAGAAUAGUAGUGGGUCAGCAGGUGCAGACUGUUCAUAUAAAAACAAAGUAAAAUCUGGAUGCCAAACAUCAAACAAUAUUAUUGGAAGGUCUACAUCACCCCAUGAGGUUUCAUCUAUCAACUUCGCCACCUCAGGUAUAAAAUAGGUACUGCAUCCCCUCAGGUAUUGCGAAUGGUUCAAAUAACCACAUCCGGCAGUUUUGAGAGUGGAUUUAACAUUGUGGCAUGUAGCGUGGCUCGUCAAGUGGCAACCCCUCAACAACUAGAAAUAUACCUAAGACCCAGUUGAUUGUGGGUCUACCCUUUCGUUUGCCAUCUUCUCUCACCAAGUCUCUGCUGUGAGAUUGUCAACCAUCAUUUCAUUCCUCGGCAAUGCACAGUUCAAUAACAGAAGCCCCUACUAAUUUUUUUUUCUCGCCCCUGAUGUGUGCUCAUUCAACAAGUGCCCACUCUCCAAAUAAAUAAAUAAAUUCUAAACCACAUGCAACAACAAACUGGGUAUCCAAAUGAAACUGUGACACAUAAUCCAAUUCAGAUGCUAAUCAAUUUAUUUAGCUUUCCAUCACCUCAAGGCAAAAACGUAAUCUAAUCCAGAUGCUAAUUUGGUUAAUUAAACGGUUGGCAGGGCAAAAUGCAUGGUUUCAUGCCUCAGUGGGUAAAGUAGUGUACAACGAAACUCAGGGGUUAAUGUAAAACAUUUUGCUAUUUUAUUUCACUACCUUUGUCCAGUUUAAUUUGAACUGGCAUAUACUACAAUACCCGUUAAGUACUUUUGAAAAUAAACUCAAUCAGUUGAAUACAAUAAAUUGCAUCUUUUUAUACUCCCUCCGUCCGGGUUUAAAAGGCCCACACGGGAUUUUUAUGCUGAACUUUGACCAAUCAUUACAUUGGUAAUACAAUGUUAUUGUGACAUAAAAGAGAUAUCGUUGGAUUCGUAUUGGAAAACUAUUUCAAUGCCGGCCUUAUAAAACCCGGACGGAGGUAGUACUGUUUCAUGUAGUUAUGCUCAAUCUGUCAAUUUUUUUACAUACAACAUGCAAUAUAGUAAGGGCCAUAAAGUAAUUGGUAGAUAAAUUAGAAAAUAGCUUUGCUAGAGAUGAUAUGAGUGCACAUAUUGUAUGGAAGAUAUUUGUACUACAUACUGUCACAAAAAUGAGACUUCAGAUGAGCCUAUGGCCUAGUGGUUAGGGCGGGGUUCUUCAUUCGCACCCACCCCAGUGUAAAGAUAACUCUAAAAACAAAAAUGAGAUUUCAAACAGAGUUCCUUACUUUGCUAGAGAUAAGCUGAACCUUCUUCACCGCCGAGAAAGACAAGCUGCCAGUAUCACCACUGGACAAAUUCAUUAUUAAACGAAUGAUGCAAAUGCAGGAUGCUACCUGACAAAGGAAAUAUAGUAUCCAUAAGAAUUUCGAAGUAUCUAACCACGUCUAUAUGCAUGAACCAGAAGUUACAAGUUACAAACACAGGUAUAGGAUUGAAAAUGGACAACUGCAACAAAUCUUUAGAGCUCAAAGUUACAAUCUCUACCGUUAAAGUUAGCAACCAAUGAGCAACUGGCCAUAGCCCAGCGGCAGGGGAGUUGUGUUAUGGCCUUGCCGACUAGAGUUAUAUUUCUGUGAGGAGCGAAUUCUGGUAUAUCAUGGUCAUUUCUACCAUGAUUAACUUCCACAGGGCUGCUCCCCAUUGGACUCAUUGUUUUAAGAAUAGAAAAUGGUAUCCAUACCCUUUUCAUUUGAGAACUCAAGAACGAGAAGGCUACCUUUGCAUCAUGAAGAAGUUCCUUCUGAUAUCCGUUGCAUGACAAAUUAUUGACGAAAUCUUCCACAAGAGCACUGUCAAACCAUUUAAGCACUACGUUGCUUGGACAAGAUUUGCUGGAAGGUUCCGCUCGCUCCUUCGUACCAACCAGGAUAGGAUUAGAGGGUUUUUCCUCUAAAACCAAUUUUCCUUUCAAGAACAACUCAUGGGACAUGAUCUCCAAAAUUUUACGCUGGCAAUUAUACCUACAAGUGCAACAUCUUACUUCAUAGAGAUUCCAAAUAAAUCAUGGUAUUCUUUUAUUACAUUAAUGUUUUCAAUAUAAAUUCUAAAACUGCACCCCGUGGCAAACAGCAUGAUCGGUGAAAACCCAAAUACGUUUAUUCAAAAACAAAUCAAUGAACAAAAAUACUGGACUGGCAGCUAAAUUAGUGUGUACACAUUACAAAACUAAUGCAACAUGACCAUACCUCAAAGAAAAUUUCUCAUCAACACUCUCAACAGGACAAUGAUCUAAGGAAGCACGGAUACACUGUGACAAGUUCUCCCAAAAUGCUAUAGAACUUCUCAGCUUAUCUAAUAUGCAUGUGAAUUGCACCCCACUUUCCCAUAAUGCCUCAAGUAGGUUGAGAACACUAAGUAACAAAGACGGAGAUCUGCAAAGAAAAUAUUGCGGAUGUUAAAUAUCAUAAUUCAGUAACAACUGCAUACAUAAAAUGAGAAAAGAAAAAAGAUAUCAGAACUGCAACCUGGAAGGGACCUAUUAUUUUAAGUAUGCAAAGCGAAUUUGAACACCCCACUCAACUAUCGUACCCCCCCCCCCCCCCCCACACACACACACAGUUUUAAGAUCCCUACAUAUACUAUGAAUAUCAUGGAGAUGCCAAGGCUUGAAAGAGUGUGAAACAUAGGGUUUCCCACUUAAUGCGUACUACUUUACUAAAUAAGGAGAACCAGGUCUAACCCCUUGGAUUAAAACUGGCAGGUGGAAUGGCAUCGCCCCUGACCACCUGAACGCUGCUUCAUCAUGAAAGGACGUGCUAAGUGUUUUAAAUCAAUAAAACAGUGUGCAAGUGAAGCAGAAAAAUUGUUCAAAUUAUCAUCUAAGAUAAGAUCAAUUGAUUUCUCUGCUCAAAGAGUGGGCACACAAAAUAGUGUAAUAGACGGUGAGAAAUGCCACCAAAUCAUUUACCUAUCGAGUAAGUCAGUGGACUUUGCAAUAUAACCUAAUGUUUUCUCAACAAGAUCGCCAUUACUUCUUGAAAUGAUGGGAGGAGAAAAAAUAUUGAUCUGAGAAUUUGUAGAAAUACUACGAUCAGCCUCAACCCUUGUAUUCUGCUCUGUCAGGGAAACAAAUAGAGCAGGCUGCAACGAGGAAAAAAAGACAAGUUAACUAAUAUUAUGUGAAAUGUUUAGAGCUAGGUCUAGGUAUAUGAAGGAAAGUUCACAUCAAAAUGAACUUAUAAGAAGGCAAAGAAGGGAUAUACGAAGGUGGUGGCAUAUGCACAAGCUUGUCAUAUGAAGUCCAAAUUGUACGACUAGAAAAAAUCCAAUAGAAAUACUCCCUCCUUCCCAUAUUAAGUGACUUUCUAUUACAUGUAUCUAGACGCUUUUUACGCAUAGAUACAUAUUUGGGAAAAUUUGAGUCACUUAAUAUGGGACGGAGGGAGUAAUACUUAAGGUUGUUUAUACAGUAGUGUUUCGCAGCAGCGAGGACCUCUUCUUGUAGCUAGUUCCAUCCAUUUUGAUGGUUGGCAUGGGCAUGGUAUAGAACAGAAUAAUCAUCGGCUCUACAAGCAGCGGCCUGAGAUUAGAGUGACAACUACGUUCAGAUCGAAUGCGGCAACGAGCAGAAGGAAAAAAAGAAGAAGUUUGUGACGGCGGGAGAUCGCCUGACCAAAGGGAAGAUCUACCACUAGUGGUUGAGCAAGGACUUCAUGCCCUAGCUCAAGGAGAACCAGGCUGGCACUUUGUGACUAAGGCCUUACCAAAGGAGACGUAGGAUCGAGCCAACAAUCCGAACCCGGAGGAAAAAUCCUUCUCUCAAUCUGCUCUUCUCCCCAUUUACUUUCGUGCAAGUCGAUUCCCCUCACCGCUUUCAGUCACUACAUUUUGUGUAGGGCCUAAUAUUUGACAAUCUCCUGUUCAUUCCCCAUCCCCUCCCCCUAGUCGAUAUACUUAAUCCAUCAGCUUCGCACCCUUAAGGUGUUACAGAACAUCUUUGCUACCACCUCCCCCUAGUCGGCAGUUGCAAUAUCGGCUUCAGAAGGCCAAAGGUGUUUCCAGCUGGCUAGCAGCGACAGGAUAUCAGCAGCGCAUUAGCACUCCUCGCCUAGUUUAGCUAGGUGGUUGUCCCGUGGUCACGGUUUGUUCCCUAAUCAAAUGCACUUGGUAUGGUUUUCAGCCUACUUUUCCUCAUAAUCUUGACCAGUCUUUCUUCCAUAUGAAUCAGCAAGAGCUCUCUGCCCUCUUGUCAUGGUUCCAUCAACAACAACAAAAACCAGGUGAAAAGACUCACUUACGGGUGACUGUCCCUAGGAUUAGUUCACCAAACGCAUCAGUCGACCCAACCCACACCACUUACCCAAUAUCUUCACCCUUUACCCAAUUCUUUCUUGUCAUCUCCUACCUAUACUUCAAUAUCUCUAAGUCAUCUCUCCUGAACGUGUGCCCUUCUCUUGUCAGUUAUCACCUCUCGUCACCAUCGCCGCCUCUACCAAAGGGUUGAGUCCUAGCCACCCUAUCUGCCUUCCACGGCCCUCCGCUGAUUUCACACUACCCAACUGAGUCAUGUGUCACCAACAAGGCAUCACUAACAGGUCAGGGCUUGUCCAAACUGCUGCAGCCCCAGCCUCAUGUGCAUCUCCACAGGUGCCAGCAAGGAAGUGUAUGGAGGGCAAGUAUAAAUUUCCAUUUUUUUCCCUGAAGCCCUCAGAUUUUCCCAUAUUUUUGGUUUUUAGGAGCCGAAAGUUAUGAGUUAACAAAGCAAAAGUUGUGUUUUGGUUGUUGAAACAUCAAUUUUUUUUUGGCUUUGAAAGUUUAGUUUGUAUUUGUGCAAAGUUGUAGUUUAUGAGUCAACUGUGAGUGUAUUAGUGCAAAGUUGGUGAUGCGUAGAGUAUAGUCGAAAGUUGGGGUCAAGUUUAUGCAAGUUCAUGAAAACAUCAGUUCAGAGCUAAGCAUUGGAAUUUGAAAGUUCAGUCAAAAAAUUUGAAAAUUUGUUUCAAAACUAAUCAAAAGUUCUGUACUUAUAUUAUUUCCUGCAUGUGCCAUCUUCCUUGGAUACCGUGAUAGAAGAUCAUCUCAAAAAAAAAAUAUAUAUAUAUAAUGUACAAAUAAAUACAGAAGAAACAAUACCUGAUAGCGAGCAAUAGAAGUCAAAAGGUUGAAUACACCCACAAUUAAAUAAUUAUUAAUACUCUCUUCCUUUUCAAGAAUGUGGGAAAUACUUGCUUGCAGUCUCCAAAUCUGAGCAAUGGUGAAAAGGAAGAGAAAAAUACAAAGAAAAAAAAAGUGAUCUUAGCACAAGGAAGCAGAGAAUAAAAUCAGUUACAUAAAUCAACAUAAAUAUUGAACCAAAGCUACAUGACACAGGUGCUAACCUCAGAACCAUCAAUAAUGAAGCUACAAUUUUCCAUGAGUUGAGCUUGGGCACUAUGAGCAGUGAAGCACAAUAUUGAAAAUGCUCUCGCUGCAGCAACUUGUAUAGCCUUGUGAAACAAAUGAGAAUCUUCAGUCAAUGGACUCAACGAGAUGGAUAAAUACAAGGUACUGGAAGAAAAUAGAACAAAAGGGGAAUUAUUAAGUUUUAAGGACAUUUUUGAAGUUCUUGCCUCCUUGUAAUCAAUUUUUCCUUCAUAAGUAGUCUUGGUCCCAUUAACUAAUAUUAUAGCAAUGUAAGGAUGAAAUACAAAUGAAAAGUACUAAACUUUUCUAGAACAAAUGACAUCCUCAUAAGAAAUAAUAUCCCAUCCGCAGAUCUACCUAAAGUCAUCAAUAUGACUGUUAUACUGAACCUUUUCGCUUGUUAAAGCUUGCUAAUAAACAAAUGCCUAUAAUCUAAAUCAUGAAUACAAAUAUCCAAUGUACAGGGAAGACAAUCUAAGAUCAGAUAAACAUGACAAGAUAGAAAGGGAAGGUACAUAAACUCCAAGUGCAAUUAUGAACACGCUCUCAGUCCCUCCCGGAGCCAAAUAUGUGUGCUGGAAUUUGAUAAAUAAACAUUACCAAGCAAACUGACAUCCCUUCUAAAUGGGUUGCUCUAUUGCUUAAUGGAGGAACAGUACUGUAACACAUAAUAUUACACUACAUGCCGUAAAUCUUAAAACUUACUGAAUUCUGAAAGGACAUCGAUGAUAUUGCAGCUGCGACGAAAGGAAAUGGCUUCAAUGAAGAUGACAAAACCAUAGUAACAAAAGGUGGAACCGGCAUCAACCCCUGAUUAAUUAACAGGAGUCAAGAAUACAUAUACCAUGAUUAGUCAGCAUUACAUAGCAAGAUAUAUAUAAUGAUUGUCUCAUGAUGAAUUUGCAAAAUACCAAUUACUUCAAUGAUUUUCCCUUCUUUUAGUAUCAAUAAUGUAUCACAUAGUAACACUAACUUUCACUCCCUAUUCCCAUAUAAAAAACCAACUUGAUACAGUGUUCUAAAAAUUAGUCCAGGUGCUGCCGCCUAUGAAGAAGGGGCUUCUCGAAGGGCAGCGAGGAGGCAGCUAUGCUGUGGCAGGCGCGACAUUCUGCCGUCCUGUGGUUUAGUUUUCCUUCUCUGCUUCCUGUUUUAGCCUAGUUUAGUCUUUGUUUCUUUCUCUGUAUUAGGCUUUCUUGUUGCUAGUCUUGUUUUGGUUUGGUUUGUCGAUACAUGUUACGUCUUCUUGGUGUUCUUCUCUAAUACAAAAUGACAUGCAUUUCAAUAUGUGUUCGAGAAAAGAAAACAUAGGAAUUAGGCUCUCAGGCCCCUGUGAUUUUUCCGCAGUCAGCAAUAUGGAUGGCAAUGGGUACCCAAAACCCAAUUACCCGGUGGGUCUAGACCCGAUUAGCAUGUGGGUCUGGGGAAAAAUCAGACCUACGGGUCUGUAAUCGGGAAAUUUUUGGACCCGUCGGGCCUGACGGGUCCGGGUCUGGUAGUGGCUUAUCUGUACCCAGAAACCCGGAGACCCGGUUGCUUACCUGGACCCCACAUGUCAUUGGUCAGCACCGUGUACAACCCAAAAUUCGGCCUGGCCCAAAAUGCAUCCGGCCCAACUAAAACCCAAGAAUCCCCAACACUAUGUGCCCGAUAGCCCCGAUCCUCCUCCCCCCUGACCCCCAACACUCUGCGCCGCCCGCACACCCCUCGUUUCUCUUCUCCUCCUCGCAAUCUCCUCAAUCCCCACCCCUCCGCCGCCAGCCGGCCAAGCAACAGCCGGCGACCGGCGGCCAGGCGCCGUCUCCUCCAGCCCCUGCCGUUGCGCCGACUGCUCGCCUUCCCCAAGUCCUCAUCCGCCCGCGGCCGGCCAUGGACACCAUGGAUUUUGAUGCCGCGGAGCAACCGUGUUAGGCUGCUGUUAUUGCUGCGUGCGUGUUCUUCUGUGGCUGCUGAACUUCUAUUUGUUACUGCUGUUGUGCGUGUUCUUCCGGCUGCUGAACUUCGAUUUGUUUUUUUCUUGGAAGGCUGAACUUCUAUUUGUUAUUGCUGCUGUUAGUGGCUUAGUGCUACUUCUAUGCAUGUGUGUUGAACUUCCUCUUUUUUUGAAGACGUUGAACGUCUACUCCCUCCGUCCCAUAUUAAGUGACUCAAAUUUGUUCAAAUAUGGAUGUAUCUAUAUACAAAAAGUGUCUAGAUACAUGUAAUAAUAUGUCACUUAAUAUGGGACGGAGGGAGUAUUUGUUAUUGCUGCAUGCUGCUGUUAGUGCUACUUCUAUUGAUGCCAUAUUCAUGUGUUGAACUUUUGAUGUAAGAACCUGGGCAUGUAGCUGUGUGUGGCUUCGUUCAUUGUUAUUUCCUAAUGCGCUAUUGCUGCUGCCGUACAAGUAAUGGUCAUUUGCAUGUCUAUUGCAGUUGCUGUGCUUGUACUGUGUAUAUGCAUGUUUUGCGGGUCGGGUUUAUCCGCGGGUCCCCGAGACCCGAGUCGGGGCCAGGCUGGUAAAUUUUCAGACACGGUGCCGGGUCCAGGUCUCGGGUCUGGGGCGCGUGGCCGGGUUCGGGUCUGGUAUGGCUCGACCCGGCCCCGAACCCGCCGGGUGCCAUCCAUAGUCAGCAAGCUGGAUACUAGGGCCUCCAGGGCACUUAGGGCUCAUUCGGUUUGAAGGAUUUUUUCUUUCUUAUGUGUACCAUUUGUUUCAUAGGAAUAGAGAUGCUAGAUUCUUAAGGAUUGUGUCCAAAUUGAGCUAAUUCCUAAGGAUUUUUAGCAUUAGGUGAGACCUCCUGAAAAAAAUCCUAAGGGCUUCUUUGGUUUACAGGAUUAUGACGUCUCACCUAAUGUUAUGAAUCCUUUGGAAUUAGGUCAAUUUGGGCACAAUCCUUUGGAAUCUAACAUCUCUGUUCCUUUCAAACGAAUGAUACACAUAGAAAAAAUUCCUAAGGUUUGAAGUCCACUAAAAAUCCUACAAACCGAAUGGAUCCUAAGGAUGGAAGUCUGCAGGACAUUCAAAUCCUCUACUUUUCCUAUUCCUGUGAUUUCAGAAUCCUAUGAACCGAAUAAGCCCUUAUGUGCUGUAGAUGCAGCUUCAUAAUUUAAAUAUGCAUUUUGGAUGUAUGCACUCUUGGAAAAUAAGGAAUGCCUCGACUAUAUAUGUGGAGCUUCAGGUAUUUUCUAUUUACGUGGAAAUGUGUAAUUCACAUUGUCUGCCAGCCUUCCGACCUUUUCAGAAUACUAAAAAUGACAGAAUUUACAAAGGGAAUUGCCACAAUAUUUUCAAAUACAUUCUACAAGCUGGCAGAUCAUGAGUCAUUACUAUUCAGCUAUUCCUAUUUGCAAUAGCUGGCAUUACAGUAUUGAGAAAAUGUACUAGCAUCUGGCUCGUGAUUUCUAUAAACUAUGAAGAGCUGAGCCAAAGCAGUUGAUGAAAGUUGUUACACGGUAACACUAUUGUUAGCUUAGUUCGUUGUUGUUUACAAUAGAUGCCAUUACGGCACUGAGAAAUUAUACAGGCAUGUGGCUUACGAUUACUAAUUACUAUGGCAUCAUAAAUAGCCCACACUUGAGGCAAAGCAGUUGACGAAAGUAGUUCUACAAUAGCACUUUUGUCAUCCUUAUCAAUCUGUCUCAUGAGAUCACAAGAUACAUACCUGACACGAGAUUCUACCAAAAAAAGAAGCGUUGGGAAUUCAGAAAAUAAAAGCAUAAUGUUGAUCUGACAAGUGACAACUGGAGGUUUUAGAAUGCAUUUGUGAAAAUGGCAAAACUAUAUCAUACAUGGUGUACCUCUGGUAAGUUGGACAGCAUGAAAAAUAUAAUAUCAAAUCCACAGCAAAGAACAAGCUGUAUAUCUUCAAUAUCCUCAUGACAAUUAUGAUAGCUUCCGUGCGAGUGCUGAAAAUGUUAAAACAUUGUCACGGAAAAGGUACUGAAACGAAAGAAGUAAAGAAUAACAAGGGUAUGCUUACCUCCAGUAAUUGUGUUGACAUAGAGAGGAUGUGCCAAAGAAUACUGUGGAUAGAAGAAUCAUAAAGUAGUAUUUGCCAAACGAUGCCACCAAGCUUUGAUGAGAAUGAUUUUAGUUGAAUACAUCUUUUCACCAAUUCAAACACCUUGCCAAUUACAAUUCAAUGAAACAUAUUCAACAUUUGAUGUCCACAAUAAUAAAUAACACAUAAAAAUGAGAAUGAACUCUGCCAAAUUAGAAUGUCUCAUAGUAUAAUACUCCCUCCUUUUCACAAAGGUUGGCGUAUUUGGUUUUGUUAGGACAAGACUUUGACCAAAAAUUACUUUAUUAAUAUGUGUUCUUUAAGACAUGAAAUUCAUUUCAACAUAUUCGUCUUGAAAAGUUCUUUCUGAUAAUUGUGAUUUCCUCUCAUAUAAUUUACAUAUUAGUAGAGUUAUUAUUGGUCAAAGUCUUGUCCUAACAAAACCAAAUACGCCACCCUUGUGAAAAGGAGGAAGUAAUGCACUAACUAGUAACUGAUCAAAUAUCAGCGAUGACUCAAGUUACGUGACUACGUCAACAGAAAAGAGGGUAAACCUUCAAAACUAAACCUAUAUGUGGUUUCCUCAAGUCUCAAACAUAUUAUGUAUAACAAUUAAAUUGCACCUUCAGGGUGGUCCUCCAGCGGCUAGACUUCCUGUAUUUCCAGCUCAUAUGAUUAACCAUGAUGUAUUGAAUUGAAAAGACAAUGAACGGUGAUAUCAUAUCGUCAGCAGCAGCUCCAUUCCGCAAAACCUGAAUGGCAAAAUCAAGCACUUGGAAAGUUUGGCAGUUCGUCAGAUCAGUAUUACUAUAAACAAAAUUAAAACACAUACAUUAAUUUUCUUUCCAGAAAUACAUACAUGAAGUUGUAAGUGAAGAACAGUCUCCAUUUUCCUCAGAAGCAGCAAAAAGCAUUCUAGCUAGUGCACCAGAAAGUAACCAAUCACUGCAGAGGUAAUUAUGGUUGUUAUUGAUGAUGGUUGAAUUUGACAUACUUCAAAACAAAAAGAAUCUACAGUCAAAAAUAUGCCAGGAUUACAGAGGCAUGGAGCUUUCAUGAUAGUACUAGUAUCGAGGUACUCCCUCCAACCCAUAAUGUGUGUCUCAGAGUUUGUACUGACAUAGUACAAAGUUGUACUAUAUCUGAGACACUUAUUAUGGAUCGGAGGGAGUACCUUAUAAGAGCAUGUGCCAAAUGAAAAAAAAAAUCUUUCACUGAAAACUUUCACUUGAACUACUAAAAAAGUGGAUUGGAAACACCAGGAUACAGCCUUUUUUUCAGAGAACAUCAAAAGGCUUGUAUGGCUUUUCCAUUAGCAGCAAAUACAAGAUGUUACCACUAAUUCGUCAAAAGAAGCCGUGAGUAAUCAGCCCAGGACCCAUGCGCAACAGGGCCUAACCCUAGGCUACAACCAGAAAUAUAACAUUGGGCAUCCCAUGAGCAGGUAACCGAAUUAGUUUAUUCUGAUUAAAAUCAUUUAAAUCAAAAUGCAGUGACUCCAAAAGAAGGAAAGAUUCGGUGAUGAAAGUCUAAACCAUUUGGAAUGAAAGCAAAACCUUUUACUAUUAUUAAUAGUUGUGUGCGACAAGGAACAGGGGUAUGUCAAUUACUAGCCCAGACUGCCCGGUAUAUAUAUUCAGUAAGGUUGUCCCCUACUGUUCCAGUUAAAAGAAAAUAGUACGUAUAGUAACAGAUAAUAACUGGUUUCAAAAGGAUGGAAGUUACAGGAAAAUUACCUUGAUGAACCAUUUAAUUGUGAAGUGAAGAUGCCGCACUCCAACCCCAUAUCAAACAUGCGGCAUGGAACACUGAGUGCCCAUCGAAGUAACAGCUCAUUAACAAAAAAUAUUUAUAAACAAAGAAGUAAUCGAGAACUUAAUAGAAGGGGCAGCUUCAAUACAAACAACACUUCAGCACUACAUAACUUAAUCUAACAAACCAAGAGGUAAUGCAGCUUACCACUUCAGGAAUUCAGUUAACAAACGAAAGGUUUUUGCCAUUAUGGUAGCAUUGUUACCAUCUUGCACAUAUUUCAAAAUUGAUGUGCAUAAUAUCUUAAUAACAUCAAUCCUGAAAAGGACAGAGAGUAGAGUAUGAUGUUCAUUCCAUGUAGCUACUGCAAAUCUGAAAGUGUUAUAUUACAAACCUGACAUGUUCUCCAAUAUGCCCCAAAUUCUUUGAUUUUUCAACAACCAGCGAUUUGUCAGCAUGAACUAAAGCACAGCAUAAAUCCUACAUAGAACAAUAAAAUGUGUAUCAAGUGUCAACAGAUGAUCAUAAGCAGCACACAAAUCCUACUGCACUGAAUAAAAAAUGGUAAAAUUGAGGAAUCAAUGCUUAAGAACAAUAAAUGAUGAUGGGAAAUAUCAGGUCAGUGAAAAAGACUUGGCAGCUACCAACUUGAGGUGUAAGUCAAUGAAUGUCAAAGCAGACUUAGCAGCUACCUUGUUUGACAAUACCAUCUGAUACAGCAAGUCCAUUAUAUCGCAGGCUUCCACAUAAUUGCAGGAAUAGAGAUCUUGUGCCAAAGUUACAAGCAAAAUGAAAACACCUGAAUGUGGGAACUGGACAAAUGUGGCUCAUGUUAACCAAAUGAUCCGGCAAACCAAUAAGCAUUUAGAAAGCAGUGGCAAUUACUAGACAUAAAUUUUAAAACCAAUGCCUAAGUCAUACAGAAAACUUGCAAAAAUCUAUCAGGAAUACUUUAAGAGUAAUAAGACAAACUUUUCAUAAUUUUUUACUAACAUGUAUGUACAAAAAGUAACGGUCAAAGAUACAUGUUGGACCCCCUGUCAAUAUCUAAAACGCCAUAUAUUUGCAAACAGACAGUAAUAUAUAACAAGUUAACAACAUAGCUUCUAUGUAAAACUAUGACUGCAGCAUCAUAAAAAACUCAAGCCUGGAAGAUAUGAUUUGUACAUUUCCUUCUACUUGCAAGUUUUUGAUGAAACAACAUCUUUACUCCAACUGUCGAACAACUAAAUGGCCACUAGACGUGACCAUAGUCUCCUCUAGCUUAUACGCGUAGUUGCCUAGUUGGUGAUCCAGAAGAGGAGUUUAAAGUUACUUGCUCAUAUGAAUUUUCCCAAUAUCCCAGUAAAACCUAAACAAAAUGAACUCAUGGAAUCUGUGGAGCAUGAACAAAUUUUGAAAGGAAUGAAUAUAAAACAGAAAAGGCAGCUAACAGAUUAUGCAAUGGGCAACAUUAGAAAAAAAGGAACAACCAAGUUGAAAGCAGCAAUGAGAAAAGGUUCUCUCAUUGUAAUUAACAAGGCCUAAUGAAGCGCCACAUGAAAUAGAAAAGACUUCACAAGACAAGGAUUCUUCCGAAAACAAGCUGUUACAUGCUAGAGGGCAUACUAAUAGUUAAGUAUAUGGGUGGCACAGGAAAGGAAUACCUCCCAGCGAACUAAUGCAACAUCAUCUUGAAGAACUCUCAAAAUGUAACCAUGGGUUCCACAGGGUAAUAUAAUUCCUUCCAUACCAGGAAUAUUCAUUGGAUGAUGAAUUUCAAUUUGAUCACAGUACUUCACACUGUCAGGAACACCACUAGGGAUAGCAUACAAUGUCGUCACUCCAUUAAUCCUUUCUAGGUAAUUGUACCUACGAUCAAGAAAGAUUAAAAGACACGAGUUAAUUUAAAAUGCCAAAAAAACCUAAAUACAAUAGUAUCAUCUGCUCAUAAGAUAACUAAUGGAUAUUAUAACCACAUAUAUUUAUGUUGCAUAAACACAAAAGUCAUACAAAUACAUACAGACACCACUUAACAGAUCACAUAAUUAUUGAUAGCUGCGAUGCAAUUACACAACAGCAUACUGUUGGAACUAGAAUUAACUGGAUACCAGGUUUCAGGUACCAAAUGUCAGUUUAGAAAUUUCUGUCUUUCAUGCAGGUCUCAACUAUCUGGUUUCAAUUUUACUAUUUUAGGCUAAUUGUUGAUAUCGAUAGUUCUUUAUAGGAAACUGAACAGUAAUAAUAUUUUGAAAUGGUGAUCACUCAAAGCAUACAACUUGAAUAUGAGAUAAUAUAUUAAUGGUUCUUCUCAAUAAUACCAAUGCAACAUCGAAUUUUCUUGCUAUGUUUGAAAACAAAAUAACCACAGCCAGCACUAAGAAUAUACACAGAAACUUUAGUAGGGUUCUCCUCUACUGUUUCCUUUAAAGACACAAAUAUGCAGAGAAAAAUAUUAGAAGCACAAAGAUGCAGAAUAGCAAAAUCCAUAUCAGGAAUGAAGAUUAGAACAGGUAGGAUGUGCACAGAAGUAAAUGUGGUUAUAAGGUAAAAGCAGAAAAAAAAAUAAGUAGUUGAAUACAUACACACAUUGAGCAGGCCAAGUCCCGUGACAAACAGCUGAUAAGAAGCGAAGCAGAUCUGAUAUUUGGAAAGGAUAUUCCUUCUCUACCAUAUGAAGAACAGAUCUGAUUGGACCAUCAACAAAACUAUCUUUGUCCCAGAAUUGCAUACAGAGUGAUUCCUGAACCAUUAGAAGGAACAAAUAAAGUGAUUUAUGCUGUGCAAAUGAGUAAAUUACACAAACCACCACACUGAAGGCAAAGGUAUCCCAUAGCUCAAGGUUUGUUUUUGUUUUUUUUCAAAAAAUCGCAAGCCUGAUGACAGGUCGUCGCAAAUAACACUGAGCAAAUUGACAACCCUCCUGACCCUGGUGGAUCCCGCAUGCAGGGCUGAUAUGGUGAAGAACACGUAGAAUCUGCUGACAUAGAUGUGAGCCCGCUUAUCAUACUCAUGUCUCAUCUUUUCAAUCUCUCUCCACAAAGAAACAUGGCAUCCACAUACGCCAAGGCACCUGCCCGUGGCAACUCCUCCGCUGCCCAAGACUUAACAACAGGGGCUGCAGGUGGAGACAGCUCAUGCAAGAAACCGGGGCACCAGCACACGA
rnacentral:lncRNA from 1 species